rnacentral:lncRNA from 1 species
UUUUUUUUUGGUGUUAAAAAAAAGAAAAGAAAAGCCCUUUGACUUUCUAGAGGGUUCAUGCUUUAUAAAAAGAAGAUAAGUAUGAACUUAGUGAAGUAGGUUUACAAGAUGUAGUCAAUUGUCUUCAUCCCAUUGACAAAUAGGAAUGGAGAAAAAUAUGCAACCCCAGUUCAUGUAGAAUGGUGACCACAAUUUGAUAUUCUGUAGGGUUUGAGUUAGGAAUAUGUGGAGACAUGCCCCAAGCCUGAAAAGAGUGUGCCCUUUAAAAACCUACCACACCAUUGGAAGUUUUGUUCUUACAAGUCAAGAUAUUGGAAUCAUAUCCCCUUGAUUGAGGAACCUUGUGCCUUUUUAACUUCUCUUUUUCUUUUCCUUUAUUUAUUUAUUUGUUGAAUUCUCCAGAUCAGAUAAAUUUAACCCUUCUCAUAAUUUUACUUAAAAAAUAACUCAUUUUUAACAUAAAUAUCCCUUAUUAUAUUAAGAUUUAUGUAUAGGUUUUAAAAUAAAAGAUUAUUUUUUCAAGAAAAUAAUAAAGAUAUUUCUAUCAAAACUAACCUUCUCAUAGUUUUAUUUGGAAAGUAACUCGUUUUUUUUUACAUAAAUACCCUUUACGAUUCCAAGAAUGUAUAUACAUGUUUUAAAAGAAAAUAGUAAAAGUAAUUUUAUCAAAACAAACAAAAAAUAAUGUUUUUUUUUUCAAGACUUAGACUUAGAUCAUAACACAGAUAUCCAUUUAGUGGAAUAUGGAAUAACAUGUGGCUUUCUCAAAACAUAAAUGAAAGAAUUCUUAUGUAUGGUAUGUGGAAACAUGAUAUAUGGGUAAAUAAAUUAUAUCUAUUUUAAAAGGGGUUGUUAUUCGCAUCAUCCUUUUGUUAAAUAUAACACUUUUUUGUCAUUUUUUUUUCAUAUAUACCCUUUUUAAUAAAGAACUCUCUCUAACCUUCUUUUAAUAUAUUAAACCUAAAUUCUAGUUGAUUAAGGUUGCGAAUCACAUACGAGAGUCAUUACUUUUUCUGCGUUGCAAAAUUUGACAUACUUACCUUUGAACGCAACCAAAGAUGUUCAAGGUCCUACGAGAGUCAUUACAAUUGUUUAUUUGGAGUUAGCUCGACACUUCGUAGCGAUAUAAUUAUUUUAUUAAUUUAUUCUUAUAUUUACACACACGCAGAUACGCCCUAAUUGUUGAUAUUGUAAUUGUUGUGUUUUUUUAUAGGUAAAUAUGGUUUCAGAUUUUCCAUUGCCAAGAAUUCAUCCCAGUUGGUAUUCGUAUCAUGGUAUCAUGAUGUCAGUGUAUUCAAUUGCGACGAGCAAUUUAAGCUGAGGUUAGAGGAGUGGCAUAAACAAUUUGGAACAACUACAGUAGAUUAUGUAGACCUUGAUUGAGUUCAUCAUUAAUACAUUGAGAUGGUAUUUAGUUUAUUAUAUUUAUUGACUUUUGAACAUAUGUAGUAUUUAAGUCUCACAAUGUUUUGACAUUUUUUUAGGCUCUUGAUUACAUACUUUGUUUUAUGAGUCUUUACUUCGCAUACACAAAUAAUUAUUACAUUGCUCAUAUUCUUAAUCAAUCUCUAGUUAUAUGCAAUAUUUUUGUUUGGGUUACAAAAAAAAAUCAUAUUGAACACAAUAAAAAAUAUAUUUUUUUUAAAACCAUUCAAAUUAAAUAUUGUUUAUUUUAAAAUUUUAAUAAUAAUUUUUAUUUAAAAAAUUGAGUUAUGAAUUUCACAUUAAAACAUUGAAUAUAAUAAAAUCAUUUUACAUAAUAUACUUUUGAUGAAAAAAUUAUUUUAUAAUUUAUUAUUUAAAGAAAUUAUUUUGUUUUAAAAUAUCAGAAGAAUAUGAAAAACAAUUGAGUGUGAAAAAAUAAAAGAAAUGAAAAGAAAAAAAAAACACAGUUUAACCGUGGGGUGGGGGGGUCGGGUAGAUAAAGAUGAAAAGGAAGAUAAAAAUAAAAUGAAAAAGAAUGCUAAAAUGUAGAGUGCAGGUUGGGAAAAUAAAAAUAAAAAAGGGGUGCAAUUGGGACGUGAGGUUGGGGAGGAGAGAAGGAAGAGGAGAUAUGAGAGAAGAAAGAGAGGGGGAAGGAAUAAAGGAGGAUAGUUUAGGAAUGUAAAAUGAUGCGUUAGUUGUGAAUAACAUUUGAGUUUUAAAAUAUAUCAGGAUCAUUGUCUGAAAUAGAAAUCUAUAUUUAGGUAGAUAUUUAUAAGGAGAUUGUGAUUUUAUAUUUUAUUUAAUUCUCUUUUCUUGAAUUUGAUAAAAAUAUUUGACAUAGACAUAAGGGAAUAAAAAAAAAUUAAAACUCUUUCUUUUUUGAGAAAAUCCUUUCUUUUCUUUGCUUGAAAAAAAAGAAUGGGAAAGUUAAAAUAAUAAUAAUAAAAGGAACUAUGGAUUCUUGCACAAUGCUUUAGGGUGAAUAGGGAGAACAAAAAUAUCUCUUUUAUGCCCCAUUUUUGUGGAAUUUUGUAAGGUGGUUUAGAAUAUUCUAAAGGAAGGUGGUUGUUUGUGAGCCCCGAUUUUAAAAAUGCCACUAAUAUAUACAAGUUGGAUAAAAGCUACUAUUUGUGGGUUAAAAGAAUGGUUUGAUUUAGGAAGUUGAUUAUUUAAUAAUAUUUACUUUUUAUACUAAUUUUUGAAGUUUUAUGGUUAAAAAUUUAAAACAUUAACCAUGACAUUUCACAUACAAAUAGAAGAAGGAAAAAAAUGGAUUUCUAGUCUUCUGUUGAAAAUUAUUUUUUGUAAUAGUCUUCUGUUCUUCAGGAAAAUAUAUAUAUAUCUAUAAAGAAAAUAUGUUUGACAACUAAAAACUAUUUUUUUAUUUUUUUUAAGAACAAAAAAUAAAGGGUUUUUUAAAAAAUAUCUUUAAGUUGUUUUCUACGAGUUAUUUUAAGAAAUAAGUAUACAAAUAUGUAGAACGAUUAAAAAUAAAAAAAAAUAAAAGACUAGAUAUAAAAAUUAUUUUUAAAUAUAAAAAACAAAUUAAAAAUAUUUUAGGUUUUUAAACAAACUUUUAUUUCACAAAAAUCAUAUAAUAAUUUUUAAAAAUUAUUCUCAAAAACUAUUUUUAAAAAUUGGUUUAAACAACAAUUACCAAAUAAGCCCUAAGUACCUUUAAAGGAACCAUAUAUCUCUAAAAUUAUAUGUUUAAGUUUCAUAUAUUUGCUGAUUUGGAAAAUAAAGGAUAAAAAGUUUUCGCUAUCAUACAUCAAUUUGUUAAGUUUUAUUUUGAUAUCAGAAAGUUUGAAAUAAUAUUUUAUUUAAAAUAUAUAUAUAUAUAUAUAUAUACAAUGAUGAUUCUUUGAAUUUAUUUCUUUGUUCUCCUCUUUUUUCUUUUUAUUGUUUACAAGAAAUGAAGAAUUUGAAAUUAUCGAUAUUUUAAAGUUAUUUUUACUAUAUUUAAGUUUCCUUAAUAUUUUCCAAUGUCAAUCAAAGAAAAUAAUUUAAAUUAAAUGAAAUUAAUUUUCAAAUAUCAAACUAUCAUUCCAUGAUAUAUUUUAUUUUACUGUAUAAUGUUUGAAAAUAAAUUUUAAUACAAAAAAAAAAUCAAUGAUUGCCAGGUAUAGUAGAAUUUUCAGGCCCAAAAAACUAUUGCAAGCCCAACCCAAAUCCAGUCCAAGCCUAGACUAGGCCCAGCCCAAAAGGUUGUACCCAAGGCCCAGUUCUGUUAAAUUUAAAGCCUAGCUGUUUUCAGAAGUUCAAUAUGGUCGUCUUUCAUGGCCGGUGUGGAUGCCUCAUAUCCCUCUCUUCUCCUCUUUCUGGCGCCAAAUAACGACUGUUACUACCAAAUUCAAAUCCAAAAAUUCGAAUUACAAAACCCUCUCUGCACUCCAAUCAUGCAAAUCCACGGAAGAUUUGAAGAAAAUCCACGCCCAACUCAUCAUCACAGGCCAAAUCAAAGACACUUUCAUAGCAACCAAAACGGUGGAAUCCUAUGCCGUUUCCGCCCGAAACAUCGAUUACGCUUUCUGGGUUUUUGUGGGCAUCAAUUAUCCAGAUUCUUAUUCGUGGACAACGAUGAUUAGAGGGUUUGUAGAGGCCAAAAACCCCGAAAAAGCUCUAGAAUUUUAUGGCCUCAUGAGGCAGAGAGGCGUUGAGUUGAAUAAAUUCACUUUUCUUUUCGUGCUUAAGGCUUAUGGGUUGAGGCCCAGUUACCAGGAAGGUAGAAUUGUUCAUGGGAAGCUUGUGAAAGUUGGGUUUUGCUAUGAUGUGUUUACGCGCAAUGCACUGAUUCACAUGUACUUGAAAUGUGGAAGUAUUACUGAUGCACACCUAUUGUUUGAUGAAAUGCCUAACCACAAUGUGGUUACAUGGAAUACAAUGAUAACGGGUUGUUUUGGCUGUGGGGAUACUGAGCGUGCGCGUAGAUUGUUCGGUGAAAUGCCUGAAAGGAAUGUUGGAUCAUGGAAUGCAGUUGUGGGUGGGUAUUCUAAGUUGGGUCACGUUGAUAUCGCAAGAUCAUUGUUUGAUUUGAUGCCGGAGAGAGAUGUAGUGUCAUGGGGUUCCAUGAUUUCGGCCUAUGUUCAGAAUGGUAGGGCUGCAGAAGCGUUAGAACUCUUCAAAGAAAUGAUGCUUGCAGGGGUUAGCGCAGAUAGCAUAAUCAUCACUAGCAUUCUUUCAGCUUGCGCUCAAAUUGGAGCACUGGACAUGGGGAGGUGGAUUCAUGCUUAUAUGAAGAGAAGCAAACUGAGGAACGAUGUUUUCUUGGACACUGCCCUUGUGGACAUGUAUGCCAAAUGUGGGUGCAUCGACACAGCAUUUGGAGUAUUCAACACUAUGCCGCGAAAAAAUUUAUGUUCCUGGAACGCCAUGUUAUCAGGGCUUGCUAUUCAUGGCCAUGGAUUUGCUGCUCUGGAGCUCUUCAAACAAAUGGAAUCCACUGGAGUUGGACCAAACGACAUAACCUUUGUUGCAGUUCUAUCAGCAUGUAGUCACAUAGGAUCAGUCGAGGAGGGGUGGAAGAAAUUCAAUCAGAUGGACAAGGAGUUCAACAUCACUCCAAAGGUUGAACACUAUGGCUGUAUGGUAGAUAUCCUCUGCAGACAGGGGCUCAUAAAUGAGGCUAAAGAGAUGAUCAGAACCAUGCCAUUGGAGCCAAAUGUAGUUAUAUGGGGAGCUUUGCUUAAUGCCUGUAAGGUCCAUGGGUACACCAAUGUUGGUGAGGAUGUGGUGGGAUAUAUUCAGAAACUAGUCUCAGAAGACGGGGGGUGUUACGUGCUUUUAUCAAAUAUAUUUGCAGCUAAAAGUCAGUGGAAUGAAGUUGAGAAGACGAGGAAGAUGAUGAAACAGAUGGGAGUAGAGAAAAAAAUUCCUGGGUACAGCUCUAUAGAAUUGGAUAGUGUGGUUCAUGACUUCUUUGCUGAAGACAGGUUACAUUCUAAAUGGAGGGAAGUGAGUACAGUUAUAGAGAGACUAAACACUCACUUAGAAGUCAAGGGUUAUGAGGCAAAUCCAUCAUUGGUAUUGUACAAUAUAGAUGAGUAGCUUGAAGUCAAAUUCCAAUGUGUGGGUCGUGGUUGUGGGUAUACGCUAAAUCUAUAUGGUUCUUUACAAGGGUACUUGAGCACUUUUUUGGCUAUUCAGUCCUAUGUAGAGGCAUAUUGUCAUCAUUCGUGUGUUAAUUCUAGGUUCGUAAUGCUUUUUUGAGAUAGAAACAAGUGUAGCUAUAUUUUAUUUGUUAUGAUAUGGUUAAGGUUUGAGUUGAAUUGGAUGUAUUAGACUUGUUAAAAGAUGGAGACAACUCCAGAAAGCAAAAUGAUUGAUAAAUGCUUUUGGGUAUUAGGUUUGAGGAAUGAUAGAGUAGAUAUACAUGUAACAUAGUUUUUAAAAAGGCAUAUUUAAGCGCGUUUACACGAGAAUUUGAAAGAAUAUAUAAAAAAUAUUUACUAAUUUUAAAACAAUUUUUUGUUUUCUUUUUCUUCUUAUUUUCGUCUCUAUUUCUUUUCAAAGGAAAAAAUGAGAGUAAUAAUAGGAGUAUCUUGGAAAGAUACCAUGAGUAGGCGGAGUGGGAUCGGCAGUGUACAGUACCAAAACAAAAAUAAACUUUUCGAAACAUUUUGAUUUCUAAAAGGUGGUUUUAAUGCUCCCAUGCUUUCAUUACUGUUAUUCCAAUUUUAUAAACCAUCAAUUCUUCCUUUAAGGAUCCAUCCAGUUGUAACCAUUCUUUGCCUACAGGCAAAUCUGCAGCUCCAAGACUGAAAAUGGUUAUAUUUUUAUGUGCUUCCAGGAAUGGAUGCAAAUCUGACGAGGCGUCUGCAAACUAAGUUCUGGGUAUAAUGAUAUAACUAAUGAAUACUCUUCAAUUUCAAAAUCUUAGGAACUUUUAGGUUGCAUUUAAAUGCCCACUGAAGAACAAAAAACCCUAACCAGUGCAGGUUACAUAGAUCCAAUAAUGACCAUGAACUCGGUUCACAGAAUAUGCUAAAAUCAACCAACAAAGCCAAUAUUCAACUUCAACAAUAGUACUUGGUAAUGAAAAAAAGCCAUUGCAAAACAAAGUCCAUAGAAAUUGCUAUUGCAGCCAUGUUAUCUCCCCACCUUCUAUCAUGAAGGAAAAUGUUUAAAGAGACUGGAACUACUGUUGCCGGACUUCGGCUUUCUUCUUUUGCCAGAGCCUAUCAAGGGCACUGUCAGCAUCUCCCUGCAAAGUUCAAACAACGUAAUUACCAACCAAGCUUCAGCAGUAUAGAUGUGAAAUCCAAAUAGAUAAACUUGUCAAAUAAGCAAAGAGCAAGUCAAUUCAAAGUUGCCCAAACAGACAAAACAAAGUCCACUGGAUUAGACCUCACCCCCAUAGGCUCAAAUAGCCACCACCAAAUCCACUGAAACAGAAAGCUUCACAUUUUUUCAUUAUAUGAUGCAGCAGUAUGGGUACUGAGGCAUCCCAUAGGGAUUAAUAUUGUAAGGACAAUAAUACAAAGCUAUCAGAACAGUGCUUUAUAACAUCUAUAAAUAGAUCAAAGACAAAUUUUUUCAAGCACAGCCAUUAGUUUACAACCAAAAGCACCAACAAUCAUCCCUUGUUUCUCUUCCCACGUAAGUUCCUUUCUACGAAAAAACCACCAUCAAUAAUUAAAACACAAAAAAAAAAAGGAACUGUCCUCCAAAUAUUGGUCAAACAAUUAAGUUGAACACGCUAAGCUCAGAAGACAUUAAUAUUUCCAACUCUCCCACAACAAAACUUCUGCCAUCCCUCUUAAAUCAAACCCAAACAACACUCCCCACUCCUCAAUAAGCUUUUUAAUUUUUACAAGCCAUUGCGCCUAAUAAGUUAUUGUAUUAUUCCCCGAUUAUUUCCUAGGAUAUCUUACAUUGUCAAUAAUAUUUUGUUUUUUGAGUUUUCUCAUUUGCUUCCAGUACAAUAAGAUCAUUCCUAAAACAAAAGUAAUAAGGCAUGAUAAAACAAAACAUUCUUUCUGACAUAGUCUUACUAUCCAAUUUGCAAAUUAUGCUUUUUUUUUUUUUUGAUAGGUAAGCACAAAAUAUAUUGAUAAGAGGCCAAAAAGCCACAUGCAUACAGGGAGUAUACAAUCUAGCUAGAGCCUCACAAACACAGAGAAAAACAAAAAAAACCCACCAGCCCUUAUGUGGAGGCUAUCCACUCCAGGGAUCCUAUAAGAGACAACGACCUCUCUCCACUAUACAUUCUCGCCCAUCCCCAUAAAAUACAGACAAAAGAAUUUUUUAAUUUCUGGAUAUCUAACACCCCCCCCCCCCUAAAAGCAAGUCUAUUUCUUUCCUUCCAAAGGGUCCAAAAGAUGUACAACGGUAUAGACUUCCAUAUCUUUUUCCUUUUUUUCCCUACAAAAGGGCCCCUCCAGCUUAAUAGGACCUCCUUUACAGUUUCUGGAAAGACCCACUUAACACCAACCAAAGCACAUAUCAUAUCCCAAAGGACUCUUGCCACUAUACAAUGUAUGAGUAUGUGAUUUACAGUUUCCUCUUCACAACCACACAAGAAACACCGAUUAGGGAGAUGCCACCCUCUUUUCUGGAGCCUAUCAAGCGUAAGCACCUUGCCCCAAGUAGCUUCCCAAGCAAAAAACAAGAUUUUUGUUUGAACUUUAUCCACCCAAAUGUUGUUCUUCGGAAAAUUGUUAGCCACAGAAUUUACCACCAAGUUAUAGGCUUCUUUAACUUUAAACUUUCCGUUUCUCCCCCCUUUCCAAAAAACAGCAUCCUCUUCUAAAGUAGGAUUGAACCCCCUCAAUGCAUGAAGCAAAUUACCUACCAAAUCCAACUCCCAAUCAUUAAAGCCCCUCACAAAUCUUACAUCCCAAUCUCCUUGGCCCACAUUCUGGUCCCACAUAUCUUCUACAGUACCAUUCCUAUGAGCAGCCAUCUCAUAGAGGUGAGGAAACCUUUGGGACAGCACUGUACAUCCGCACCAAAGAUCAUUCCAAAAACUGAUUCUGGUACCAUUCCCCAUAAUAAAAGCCAUAUUCUCCCAACACCAAUCUUUUUCCUUCAUAAUUUCCUUCCAAACCCCUACUCCAAAUGUCCCAUUAGCCUUUUUGGUCAUCCAACCAAAUCCCUCUUGCCCAUAUUUCGCCAAAAGCACUUGUUUCCACAAAUUUUCCUUUUCACAAGCAAACCUCCAAAUCCAUUUCCCCAACAAGGCUUUAUUUAACGGGAUUAACUUCCUUAAGCCAAGCCCCCCCUUUUCCUUCUCCGUACACACAACCUCCCAAUUAACAAGGUGCACUUUCCUUUCUAAGUUUCCUCCUCCCCAAAGAAAAUCCCUUUGCAAUUUUUCUAAUCUUCGCGCAACCGACUUGGGCAUACGGAAUAGAGACAUUUGAUACAAAGGUAUACUAGCCAUCGUGCUCUUUAUGCUUCUUAGUUCAAACAAAUUUUAUCUAACUUUACAGUAGAAUGAUUUAUACAAUUAGUUCCCUAAUGCAUUUGCAAUGCUAUAUCUUAAAACCGAAAUAAAUUUUAGAAAGACAAGCUCAUAACAAAAGGGCUAAACUUAUGAAAAACAAGCCAUAAACCUUUAAAUAACUAACAAUAUCAGUAAUAAUACUUGAAAUGAAGAUAAGAAAGAAAAAUAACCUGAGCCCGGACAAAGCCGCAAAGAGCAAAGGUAGUAAAUUGACCGGUGUAAGUUCCACUCUCAUCUAAAUGCCCAAUGUUAAUCUGGACUGAUGCAUGAUCCUUUGAAGUGAUGAGCCUAUUAGUGGCAGAGCUGCAAGUAUAAGAAAAAUCAAUCGGAGUUCCAUGACCCAACACGCUAAAAAAUGGCUAAUCAAUAAAAUAAAGCAGCAUACCACUUCCUAGGGAUGUAAAGAUCCAUGUUUUGUCCCUCUUCGUUCUGCAUCUUGGCUGGUUGUUUAAAUGCUCCCAAUAUACGGAUCUAAAAAUACCUGAUUCAAUAUAAUCAAGUCAAAACAACUACAAGUGCUCACUUUAGAUAAUUAAAAAUACAUAUUGUAGACAAAUUUAAUCAACUAUUUUUUUCAAAAAAUAAAGCAUAUACUCUUCAUAAGAACAAGAAAGGAGCAUUGGUGUAUACGGAUGGAUGCAUCUUUUAUAAAGAAAUUCCUAAUUUUUCCAUAUAAAAUAUUUAAAAAAUAAAAUAAAACAUAAAACACAAAAAAUUGUUUCUAGGGCAAUCGCAUCGUGUAAUCUUAUACAAACACAGCUAAACAGUUCCGCUUGAUUUCUGAGAAACCAUGUGAAAGUAAAAAAUGAAAACUAGUCAUAUAAACAAGAUGGGUUUGCUUAGAUUGGUAUAAAAUUCCUACUAAGUCCUAUCAACCACAAUCAUAUAAACUAGUCAUAAUGGAAGAGAAAUAGGAAGAAUAAGUUCCGUUUGAUUGCCGAUAAAUCAAAGGAAUGCGGGUUGAUACUCAUCUUUAACCAAAUCCCUAACCCAAGGGCACAUCGCAAACUAUUUUCCUAUGCCUUUUCGGCAGCGACAGACAAUCACAAAGUAAAAGAAAUUGUAGAUCUGAAAUUAUAGCAAUGACAUGUAAUUCAAAGAAGAACAGAAACAUGAGAUUUACGAGGGCUUACCAGGAAGAGGAGAGACUGCAACCGCAAAUGGAGGGUUAGGGUUGUCCCGUGGCAUUAUAUAUAGGUGGCUCAAAACCCUAGUCCAGUUAUAAAAUGACCAAAAAGACCAUCUAAAACGGUGUCGUUUCUCUGCUCUUUUCAAAAACCCUAACUCAAAAACUAUUUAUUUCUUUUUUUUUUAAUUUUUAAUUUUAUUUUAUAUAACAAAAUUCAAAGAUAUCGUACCAAAUUUUGAAUCGGAGCCCUUCAUGUGUGUAAGGAUAAAUCUAGACCGUUAAAUAUAUAUAUAUAUAUAUAAAUAAAAUAUGAAGAAAAAAUUAAAUUAGUGUCAAAUGGAGUAGCAUUGUUUAAGCUAAAAAAUAUUAUAUCUAUCUAGUCAAAAUCUUAUGAAUGGUAAACGGAAUUUUAAUCAUAUUUUAGCCGAAGAUAUCAACUUUUUUUUUAUUUUAUGAAAUGAGACUACGAAAUAGAAUACCUACAAAUACAAUUGAAAUAUGAGUUACAAUCAUCUUUGAAACUAAACUUUAUAAUAUUUUUAGGGAAAUUUGAUCACCAAAUUAUUGAUUUUAAAUUAUAAAUACUUCUUUUAACUAAACAAUUUUCCAUUUACUUUCUUAAAAUAAUAGUAAUAUUUUAAAAUAAAUAAAAUCAUAAGCUAAAUAAUUUAUGACAAGUGUACUUAAAUCUAGAGUCCAUCUGAUUGUAUUCUUAAAAAACACUUUUAGUUUAAUAAAUGUUUAAACAAUUUAGGCAUUUGAAAAAAAUUUAUGAACACAUUUUUAAAUUUUUGAAAAAUCAUUUUCAAUGUUUUUUUUUAAUAAUUUUAAGAAGCAUUUUUAAUUUAAUAUAUAUUUUGUUUAAAUAAGGUGUUUGAUAUAUUUUAAGAAAUACUUUUAAAAAUCUUAAAAAAUUAUUUGUAACGUUAAAAAAUCACUUAUAAUAUUUUCUAAAAAACCACUUUAUAAAUGAUUAUUCCAAAAACAUUUUUAGAUAAAACAUUUUGAGUAAAAACACUGUUAAAAACAUUCUUAGAGUUUGUUCGAUAAUGAUUUUAAGAAUUACUUUCAAUAUUUUUUAACAUUUGAAAUUUUUUAUAUUUUAAGUGUUAAAAAAAUUAGAAAUAUUUUAAAAAUUUAUUACCAAAUGUACUUUUAAAUAGUAUUAAAUACUAUUUUUAGGAGAAUCACUUGUUUUUUUUAAAUAACUAUAAGUGAUUUUUCAACACUACAAGUAAUGAAAUUAUACAUAAUAUAAUUAUAAUUUUGAAAAACAUAAAUUAUUGAAGUAAGAAAAAUAUUAGAUUUGUCAAAUUUUUUACUUUUUUUUCGUUUAUCUAAUGAAAAAUUAUAAAAUAAAUUUUGUGUGUACAAUGUACAUGUAUAUAUAUAUACAUAUAGAUUCCCGCCAAAGAGUAGGUGGUAGUCUGGUAGGCUGGAGGGAAGAAAAUGGAGUGGAGUCUGAGCGGGAACGCUCUCAAGACCUUCGCUCGCUCUGUCACGUGCCUUGCACGUGUGGGAAACGAGCUCGCCAUCCAAGCUUCUCCUUCUCAGGUACUUUCUUGGCAAGCAAACAGAGAUCCAUUUUCUUUCAACUUUCUCUUUGAUUCUUACUUUUUCAUCGUCUUGUUUAACCCUGCAAUUGGAUGCUUUUCCACAAGGAAACAAUAGUAUUUAGGCGAUAGUGUUAAUCGAAUUUGUCUAUUUGUGUUUUUGUUUGGUCCGUUGUAAUAAAAUGCCCUAGAAUUUAAUUCCAUCAAUUCGAGAGUGAUUUGCUUGGUUUUGAAGCAAAUGGUGCUUUUACUGCGAUUGAAAGCUGUGGUAAAGCGAUGGUGAUUAGGGUUUGGAAGUAGCGGAUGAAGCAAAAUUAUAAGGUUUGGCUUGGUUUCUGGGAAAUUGGAAGAAAAGAAGGGAGAAUUAAAACUUUCUAGCAUAUAUUUUGUGUUCUUUUGGUUUGCCGAUAACCUGUUAUUAAUAUCAAUACAAUUGACAAUAAGGUAAUUCAAUGCUCCUUAGUCCUUGCCUGGAGAAUAAAAUAAAAGAAAAGAGCAGAGAAUAAGAUUGUAAGUUCAUUUUCUUUUGUUUUUUCUGUUUUUUUGGUUUGUGGAAUUAUUUAAAAAAAAUCCCCCAACUAAGAAUCCGUUUGGUGGUGAUUCUAGGAAGCACUUUUAACCUUUUUAGCACUUGGAAUUUUUUUAUCUAAAGUAUUAUUUUCAAGUGCUAGAAAUGCUUCCUAGAAAAACUGCCAAACAAGCUCUAAGUCAUCCAGAGGCAUUACAUUCUAUUGAGUGGAAAUUUUCAUUUCUUGCUUCUCAAGAAUUGAAGAUUUUAUUAUUUUAGUUUAUUCUGAUAGCUUAUUUUGUUUCUUGACAACUAAAGAACAUUAGCGAAGAUAGAGCCCCUAUCUGAUUUGGACCCUUUCAACUCACUUGCACAAUGUUAAAGAUCAGAACAGGCAGUUAGCAAAAAAAAAAAAUAGCAACAAAUGGCUUAUUGGAAGAUAGUUAUUAUUAUCCUCAUUUUUUGGCGUAAAAUUAAAGCUUAUUUGUUUAUUUACUCAAAUUUUCUGCAGCUUGCUUUUCACACAAUCAAUUCAUCACGGUCGGCCUAUCAAUCUAUUACAUUUAAGCCUGAUUUCUUUGAUUUAUAUACAAUUUCUGGUGCCCAAGUACAAUGCAGUGUGCUUUUGAAGGUAAGCCACCCCAAUAACUUUGUUAGAACUAACUGGAUCACACAAUUUUUGUCAUCUUCUCUAACUCAACCUUUUAGGCCAUUUGUGCUGUUCUGAGGACACCCAUUGCAAGUAUUGAUCAUUUGUCCGUGCAAUUGCCUGAUCCUGAUGCGUCAAAACUGCAGUUGACUUUGAAUUGCUACAAUGGUAAAGGGCUCUUUCCUAUCUCUUAUGUGUUAUUCAUCCUAGCUGUUAAAUGAAAAUAGGAAGUGGAUCUUCGAGAUGCCCACCCUGCAUAAAACACAGUAAGCAGAGAUUGAUGGCCAGUUGCACACAUAUGCCAAUUGGUGAUAUUCAAUUUUACAUUUGCUGCAAUUGUGAUUUAUAAGAAGCAUACUAACUCCCCUGAUGGCAUUUAAUUAGGUGUUGUUUGCAAAUGAAAUUUAUCCUCUGUGUUUUAUGCAACUCUUUAAUAGAUUAGUUGGACUUGUAAAAUGUGGUCAUCACCAUAUUUGCCAGCAUGAUAAUAACCCAAUGGAAACAAGGUCAUUUGAAAUUAUGACCUUAUUUUUAAUAGGUAAGGAGCAUGAAUGGAUCAUUUAAAUCCAUCAAAUGUCUAGAUCAAUUUCAUAGCAAAUGGUUCUUAAAAGCUUACAACUGGAGAGUGGCAAAAAGGGCCUUAUGUUCAUACACAACCAAUGAGAUAACAUUUUGUACAACUUUCAUAACAGAUAGAUUGUUAUAGCAACUAGGAAGAGGAUCUGUGUUUUAUAAACUAAGAGUUCUGGAAUCCAGAAUUGGACUUUGAAUCCUAAUCACAUUAAUUGAAUACUAUAAUUUGUGAUGUUCAAUGCUAUGUGUCUUCAUUUCAUAAUUGAUGUAGGACAACCCUAGGAUGGUUGCCUAUAUUCAAAUAGGUGGGCUAGGUUCUCCAUUUUUAGAGUGUAAGGAGAGGAACAAGGAAUAAAGUUUAUGGUAGAGAAAAAAAAAUAAAAAUAAAAAUAGAGAGAAAGAAGAUAUGACAAAGAAAAGAUGGAAACCUUAGAGUCUCACUAAGGCCUUCUAAGAGUCUCACCAUCGAGGAUUGCAACACUUGCAAUAAAAAAAAAAAGGUUAUUAACAUCAAUUAAUUCAUUCUUUGAUUUACAUCGAUUAGCUUUAUUUAUAGGCUUCUCUAAGAAAUCCAAAGUCUACUAAGAUUCUAAUAGCCUAUUAUGACUCUAAUUCUUAUUAUUUUUUUUUUAUAAGUAAAAGAUAUGCAUUAAAAAAGGCAAAACGCCGCACAGCAUACAGGAAGUAUACAAAACAGCAUAGGCCUCAAAAAACAAAACAAAGGAUCACCUCCCAUUAAGUGGAGGCUAUCCACUCUAAAAAGUCUAUAAGGGAGAACGCCUCCUUCACCUACAUACAAUUUGGCCCAACUCNNNNNNNNNNNNNNNNNNNNNNNNNNNNNNNNNNNNNNNNNNNNNNNNNNNNNNNNNNNNNNNNNNNNNNNNNNNNNNNNNNNNNNNNNNNNNNNNNNNNAAAAAGCAUAAAACUCCCAUUUAAAUUAAAAGGCUACACUCACUAAACUUUUUUAGAAAAUGUUUCCACUAAUUUUCAAUUAUUUUUUUUUUUUUUUGGAAAAGAAAAAGAUAUGCAUUAAGAAAGGCUGAACCCCCCCCGGCAUCCGGGAAGUAUACAAAACAGCUGGGGCCUCAAAAAAAAAAACAGAGAAUCCCCUCCCUUAAAGUAGGGGCUAUCCACUUUAAAAAGCCUAAAAGGGAGAACCCCUCCUCCCCUUCAUAAAAUUGGGCCCAACUCCACAAGUUACAAAAAAAAAAAUUUUUUAAUUUUUGAACAUUCAAAACCCCCCCCCCCCCCUAAAAGCUAAUCUAUUCCUCUCCUUCCAUACCGUCCAAAAAAUGCACAACGGAAUGGCAUCCCAUAUCUUUUUCCUUUUCUUUCCCACAAACGAGCCCCUCCAACUAGCUAAGACCUCCUUUACAGUUCCCAGAAAAACCCAUUUUACAUCAACUAAACCAAAGACAAUAUCCCAUAAAGCUCUAACCACUGUACAAUAUAUAAGGAUAUGAUUUACACUUUCUUCUUCACAUUCACACAAGAAACACCGAUUUGGAAGUUGAAAUCCUCUUCUUUGAAGACUAUCCAAAGUUAGCACCUUCCCCCAUGACGCCUCCCACGCAAAAAAAGCAACUUUAGUUGGCACUCUUGCCACCCAAAUGCUUUUAUGGGGAAAUCCCAUAACCUCAUAAUUUGUCAACAAACUGUAAGCUUCCUUAACCCUAAACUGACCACUUCUUCCUUUUCUCCAUAUAACUGAAUCUUCCUCCAAAGAAAGUUUAAAACCCCUCAAAAUGUGGAGGAACUCCCUAACCAACUCAAUCUCCCAAUCAUUGAAGUCCCUCAAGAAGUGUAGGUUCCAGUUUCCUUGACCCGAAUUUUGAUCCCACAUUUCCUCAACCGUCAAACUCUGAUGCGCAGCCAUACCAAAGAGAUGAGGGAAACAUUGAGCCAAUGAAGAUUCUGAGCACCACACAUCUGUCCAAAAACAAAUCAAGUUGCCUUUUCCUACACGAAAUGUUAUGUUAUCCCAACACCAAUCUGAUUCUUUCCAAAUCUCCUUCCAAACCCCUACACCAACCGCCUCAUUUCCCUUUUUGGGCCUCCAAUCAAGACCCUCCUGCCCAUACUUCACCUUAAUCACUUGUCUCCACAAAAUAUUUUUUUCACAUGCAUAUCUCCAUAUCCACUUGCCAAGUAAAGCUUUGUUCAACAAAGCUAGCUUUCUAAGGCCUAGCCCACCUUUCUCUUUGUCUGUACAAACCACCUCCCAUUUAACCAAAUGCACUUUUCUCUCCAUGUUUCCCCCUCCCCACAGAAAAUCCCUUUGCACUUUCUCAAUCCUUCUAACAACAACCUUUGGCAUUCUGAAAAUGGACAUUUGGUAGAUUGGCAUGCUAGCCAAUGUACUUUUUAUUAAGGUGACUCUUCCUCCUUUAGAAAUGUAUUGCCGUUUCCAAAGAGCUAGUCUCCUCCUCACUCUUUCCUCCACCCCAUCCCAUAUAUAAGGCGCUCUAUUUGGGGCUCCUAAAGGAAGACCCAAAUACUGAGAAGGUAGAGUCCCCACCCUACAGCCAAGCUCAACAGCCAACUCCUCCACCUCCACCACCUCACCAAUUGGAAUGAUUUCACUCUUGGCUAAGUUAAUCUUUAAGCCUGAAGCCGCUUCAAACCAGAAUAAAAUCCACCCCAAGUAAGAUAGGUGAUCCUUUCUGGCCUCACAGAAGAUAAUUGUGUCAUCAGCAAAAAAUAAGUGAGAGAUGUUCAAAGAAGGACCACUUCCACCCCUUAUGUUGCAUCCUGAUAAGAACCCCCCCUCCACAGCUCUCCUAAUAAGCACAUCAAGCACUUCCAUCCCCAUGAUGAAGAGGUAAGGAGACAACGGAUCCCCUUGUCUAAGGCCUUUAGUGCUAGGGAAGAAACCAGCAGGCACUCCAUUCACCAACACUGAAAAUUUAGCUGACGAUAGGUAGCUCCACAUCCACCCCACCCAUUUAGACCCGAAUCCCAUCUUUUGUAACACCUUCACCAAGAACUUCCAAUUGAUGCAGUCAUAGGUUUUCUCUAUAUCCAACUUGCAUAUAAUGCCCUUUUCCUUUUGUCUCUGCCACGUGUCUAUUACUUCAUUUGCAACUAAAGACGCAUCAAGGAUUUGUCUUCCCUUCACAAAGGCAUUCUGAGAAGUGGAUACCACCUUACCAACUACUUUCUUCAGUCUGUUAGCUAGCACUUUAGCCAAUAACUUGUAGAGCCCCCCCAAGAGACUAAUCGGUCUGAAAUCUCUAAGGUCCUCAGCCCCACUUUUCUUGGGGAUCAGCACCAAGAAGGUAUUAUUAAGACUCUUGAGGAAAGAACUGUGGUCAUAGAAGUCUUUGAACAUUUCCAAAAUUUCCUCUUUAAUGAACUCCCAGCAACUUUGCCAAAAUGCCAUUGUAAAGCCGUCCGGACCAGGGGCUUUAUCCCCAUUCAUCUCCAUCAGAGCUACAUAGAUUUCCUCCUCUGUAAAGGGCCUCUCCAAGGUCUCAGCAUCUUGUUGGCUGAUCUGGUCUAACCGAAGGCCCCCUAUGUCCGCCUUCCACCCCAUAUCUUCUGAGAGCAAACUUUGGAACGUGCUAGCAAUUCCUUCCCUGAUUUCCUGCUCCUCUAACAGCCACUCCCCAUUGAUCUUUAUUCUCUCCAAAUGAUUAUUUCUACAGUGAGCGCUUGCCAUACGAUGAAAAAAGCCCGUGUUUCUAUCCCCCUCCUUCAGCCAUAUUUCCCUAGAAAGCUGUCUCCAAUGGGUCUCUUCCAUAAUCACCCAUUUCCUAUAAUUAUCCUUUGCUUCUUUCUUAAGCUCUGUUUCCUCCACAGUCAGAAUUCUCCCACUUUCCUCCCUAUCCCAAAACUCCACCUGCUGCAAGGCUGAGGAUUUAUUGGUCUCCAGCUUCCCAAAAACUUCUCUAUUCCAGACUUUCAAUUUCUGUUUGACUUCCUUCAUCUUAAUAGCCAACUUGUAACUACCACUGCCUCUAACCUCAGUUCCUUGCCACCAGCUGCGCACUAAAUCUUUGAAGCCCUCAACCUUAAGCCACAUAUUUUCAAAUCUGAAUGGAGUUGGGCCUCGUCUUAUCCCCCCCACAAGCAUAAUUGGGAAAUGAUCGGAGACCGGACGGGACAGCCUACAUUGACUAAUCCCAUUGUAUUGGUCAGUCCAACUAGGGGAAACAAGGAACCUAUCCAAUCUUGCCCAGACCUGAUUGUUUUGUCCCCCAUUCCAAGUAAAUUCUCUCCCUUGAAGUGGGAGAUCCAUCAGCCCCAGGUCAUCCACUAUUUCCGCAAAUUUCCUCAUUGCUGAAUUCAUCCUUCUCUGGCUGCUCCUUUCCCUCGGAAACAAGGUUAUGUUAAAGUCCCCCCUAUACACCACGGGUCUUCCCACAGCCCUCUAAUCGCCCCCAACUCAUCCCAUAAAGCCUCCCUUUCCAUCUUGGAGAACAGGCCGUACACUCCCGUAAAAAUCCAAAUCGCCCCAUUUUCUACAUUCCGGAAUCUACAAGAUAAGGUAAACUGGCCCUCUUCCCAAUCUAGAACCUCCAGGGUCCUUUUAUCCCAGCACAUCAGAAUUCCUCCUGAAGCUCCUUCCGCAUUCACAGCCUUCCACUCAAGGAAUCUGCCAGAGCCUAUGCUUCUCGCUAUGUUAUCCGACAUCGCUUGAAUUUUAGUCUCCUGAAUACAGAUUACGUCCACCCUCUGAUUCCUUAUAAAUGUCUUAAUGACUUUUCUUUUAGAGCUAUCAUUUGCUCCCCUCACAUUCCAACUCAGAAUUUUCAUCUUCAUUGGACAAUCAUAAUCUGGAGCCCUUUGCCCUGUACCGAGCCUUUUUGUUUAAUCCCCCCCUCAUAAUUAAUGGAGCAUUCCAGUCUUUUUAACUCCCUUUCAAACUUAGAUUUUUCCAAUAGCUCUUUACUAUGGAUUUUCUCCCUUCUCUUUCUAAUUUGAGACAGAAACUUCAGUAUUUCCUUCUCCAAUCCCUCCGUGGGGAGUCCCAGGAAUUGACUGAAUUUUGCCAGAUCACUCUCCUCCCAUUUAUCCUCCUGCAUUCCUCUCUCUGUUUGAGUAUCACAUAUGGCACCGACCUCAAGAAUCCCCCUUUCCAUAGCACUGCUGCUUUCCUUUGCUCCCACCUCCUUGCAUCCAUUGCUCCUCUCAACACAGCCCUCAUAUACCGUUAGCCACAUUGUAUUGUCAACCCGAACCCUCUCAUUCCAAUCACCAGAAUGAUCAACAGACUCCACUCCCGGAGUCUGAUCAAAAUUAAAAGAGUUGAGAUGAGAAAUCCCNNNNNNNNNNNNNNNNNNNNNNNNNNNNNNNNNNNNNNNNNNNNNNNNNNNNNNNNNNNNNNNNNNNNNNNNNNNNNNNNNNNNNNNNNNNNNNNNNNNNNNNNNNNNNNNNNNNNNNNNNNNNNNNNNNNNNNNNNNNNNNNNNNNNNNNNNNNNNNNNNNNNNNNNNNNNNNNNNNNNNNNNNNNNNNNNNNNNNNNNNNNNNNNNNNNNNNNNNNNNNNNNNNNNNNNNNNNNNNNNNNNNNNNNNNNNNNNNNNNNNNNNNNNNNNNNNNNNNNNNNNNNNNNNNNNNNNNNNNNNNNNNNNNNNNNNNNNNNNNNNNNNNNNNNNNNNNNNNNNNNNNNNNNNNNNNNNNNNNNNNNNNNNNNNNNNNNNNNNNNNNNNNNNNNNNNNNNNNNNNNNNNNNNNNNNNNNNNNNNNNNNNNNNNNNNNNNNNNNNNNNNNNNNNNNNNNNNNNNNNNNNNNNNNNNNNNNNNNNNNNNNNNNNNNNNNNNNNNNNNNNNNNNNNNNNNNNNNNNNNNNNNNNNNNNNNNNNNNNNNNNNNNNNNNNNNNNNNNNNNNNNNNNNNNNNNNNNNNNNNNNNNNNNNNNNNNNNNNNNNNNNNNNNNNNNNNNNNNNNNNNNNNNNNNNNNNNNNNNNNNNNNNNNNNNNNNNNNNNNNNNNNNNNNNNNNNNNNNNNNNNNNNNNNNNNNNNNNNNNNNNNNNNNNNNNNNNNNNNNNNNNNNNNNNNNNNNNNNNNNNNNNNNNNNNNNNNNNNNNNNNNNNNNNNNNNNNNNNNNNNNNNNNNNNNNNNNNNNNNNNNNNNNNNNNNNNNNNNNNNNNNNNNNNNNNNNNNNNNNNNNNNNNNNNNNNNNNNNNNNNNNNNNNNNNNNNNNNNNNNNNNNNNNNNNNNNNNNNNNNNNNNNNNNNNNNNNNNNNNNNNNNNNNNNNNNNNNNNNNNNNNNNNNNNNNNNNNNNNNNNNNNNNNNNNNNNNNNNNNNNNNNNNNNNNNNNNNNNNNNNNNNNNNNNNNNNNNNNNNNNNNNNNNNNNNNNNNNNNNNNNNNNNNNNNNNNNNNNNNNNNNNNNNNNNNNNNNNNNNNNNNNNNNNNNNNNNNNNNNNNNNNNNNNNNNNNNNNNNNNNNNNNNNNNNNNNNNNNNNNNNNNNNNNNNNNNNNNNNNNNNNNNNNNNNNNNNNNNNNNNNNNNNNNNNNNNNNNNNNNNNNNNNNNNNNNNNNNNNNNNNNNNNNNNNNNNNNNNNNNNNNNNNNNNNNNNNNNNNNNNNNNNNNNNNNNNNNNNNNNNNNNNNNNNNNNNNNNNNNNNCCUCCUCUGUCCAGCACCCCACUCCUCGGACUCCAAAAAUCCAACCCUACCUGGACUCUUCUAUCGUGCGAUUUCCAGAAGAAACAACACGACGCGCCUCUUCCAAGUCUUCAAAGUCCAGUAGAACCCUUCCCUUUUCCAUUUUAGCCAACCCUAGGCUACCUUUAAGCUCCCACGAUUUUGCCCAACACUGUCCCAACUUCUCAAGAUCAUCCUCUUCCCCUACGUUACUCCUCCUGCUCGCCACAACACAGUGUUCCAACUUCUUCAACAAUCCCAUCGAAUCCUCUCUUUUGACCUUCACUGCGAUCGCGUUUGGAUUGCCCAACAAAGCGCGUUUUGCUAUUGUUGCGUAUGAAUUCCCCCCAACAAUUUUCCCCAUAGCCUUUCCUUCCUGGGUUUUUGAUCUACUAACAAAAGCACCUAUCACCUCUUUAAUCUUGUCCGCCAUGGUCAUCCACCCCCGCUUUUCCUUUCUACCUCUCGGGAUGAAGAUGCAGAAGUGUUUCCUCUCAAGAUCGGAGACCCCUAGCCGGAUAUACUCCCCCGCGUUGUUUAUCCCUCGUGACAUAGAGAAUGUUCGGCCCUGUUCCUUCCACUCCCUUCCCCAUCCUGUUUCUUUCUCAUCCAUAAUACAGAGUUUCAGACCUUCCAUAAACAACCCUAAACUGUCCGAACCCAAACGAACCCAUGACUCAACCCCUCCCUUCUUCUCCACAAUGAGGACUUGGAGUUUUCCUUUCCUCUCGUCCCCAAUAAUCUCAAACUCCUUUGAUUCCACGCUAAAUUUGCAUUCCUUCCUUCUGCGUCGCGGCGCCGAUCCUUCAUCCCCCUCCUCACCAUUGCAGUCUCCUGCGCACUCUCUCUCCCCUUCUUUCGCUCUCUCUCUCUCUCCCAUUUUUAUUGGCAUUCAAAUAGGUGUACCACUUUAUUAUAACAUCCAAAGUUUACUAGGAUUCUAAUAACCUAUGAUUCUAAUUCUAAUUGUCUUAUAACCUAUUUAGUUAACCCUAAUUUGACUCCAACAAAUACUAAUACUAAUUUAAUUCCAACUAAUUCUAAUCCUAAUUUAACUCCAAGUAAUGCUAAUUUGACUCUAAUUGCAACUAAUACAAAUUCCCUUUCUUGAUGUAUAUCUUAGAGAUUCAUCCCUCAUCAAUAAUCUUCUAAUAUUAUACUUCAUUUGGACCCAUCAGGGCUUAAACUUAAUACUAGUCAUUGUGCAGGUGUGAAAAAGGCCUAUUGGAUUACUUGCAAUGUUGAACCCGACAUACAACAUUUGUCUCUUGAUAGGACAAGAUUCCCCAGCAACUUUGUAGUGAGGCCUCGAGAUCUCAACAGACUGCUAGCUAAUUUUCAGUCAUCUCUUCAGGAGAUUACAAUCAUUGCAACAGAACCCACUUCCUUACCCUCUGAUGCUGCAGGUGAAAUAGGCGGAAAAGCUGUUGAACUUAGAUCUUAUAUAGAUCCAACCAAAGGUAUGUUAAGAUAUUCCAUAUCUAUAAAUUACAUGAUCCAACCAUGGCUGGACCAGGGUAUUAUCAUUUCCCCCCCUUUAUUAUCACUAACUGUUAUUGGUGCUUCACAUUUUCAACUGCAGACAAUGACUCCUCAUUACACACUCAGUUGUGGAUAGAUCCUAUGGAAGAGUUUGUGCAGUAUGUGCACUCUGGAGACCCUGUAGAUGUGACAUUUGGUGUGAAGGAAUUGAAGGUAUCGUAGACCUUUCCCUGAAAUCUAGUUUUGAGUUCCAUUAAUGUGUGGUAAUAUAUUUAACUUAACAAAAGCCAUACAACAUCCCUAUCAUUAUCAUUUGUAUUAUUUGACACUGUCUGGAUAUAAGGUUAUUUAGCUGCUAUAAUUAAUUUAUUGGUAUAUAUUGGACUACCAAAUUUCAGGCAUUUCUGUCUUUCUGUGAGGGAGGUGAAGUUGAUAUUCACUUAUUUUUUGAGAAAGCUGGCGAGUAAGAUAUUUAUGAAUCCUAUGCCACUUUUUAUUUAUUAUUUAUUGUUUUCUAUUUUAAUUCACCUAGCUUUCUUUCUUUUUACAGUAUGUUUUGCUUUGUUUUCUCUCUCCCCAUCCAUCCAAAACAGGAUAACUGAAAAGAUGAAUUCUAGAGUGAACUGCAAACCUAAAGCCCUUAUAUGCACUAUUAAUGUUGGACAUUCAUAAUUUUGAGUAUGGCUUUCAUUCAUGAUAUUGGUGAACCACAAAUGGGCCAAUACUGCCUUGUAUGAUAAUACAACUUGGUGCUCACCAAGAUGAAAUGGUAGAAUAAAAGAAUGUAUAAUAUUGCUAUAGUCAUGAACUAACCUGGGAACAGAAAAACACAUAUUGAAUUAAUGAGAUUAAUAAAAUUAACUGUUCUUUACUAAGAUUUGUUGGUGAAGGUUAGUAGAAGUACUGCCUCUCUGGUCUAUAACACUGCUAUAUUAAAUUUUUAUAUUUAGUACAUCAGUAUCUUUAAAAUGUCAAAAUACUUUAGGAUAGAACAACUACGAAGCAUCUCCUCCUUCAUAUUGCAUCAAUUUACUCACUAAAAUAACCAGAAAAUGGCAUGUGUUCCAGAUUUGUUUGAUGCUAUAAACACAAGCCUAAAUUUAUCCAUCUAUUACUUUCUGUUGUAAUCUGGCACCUGUCACCUGUGAUUACUACCCUUUUUUUUUCUCAGACAGAUAUUAAUGGAAAUCAAACAGAUAACUUACAUACAAGACCGUGUUACAAGUUUUGUUAGCAAAAUAGGUUUUGGUCUGGAUUAAUCCUCUAAUGUAUUAUAUUUAUGUGAGUAGUUUUUAACCUGUGCCUUUCUACCACAUUAUAAAUCCUUAUUGCCAGCUACCCAUAUGUCUUGGUAUCAUUAAUGCUUGAAUUUAAACCACAAAUUUGAAUUUACCACAUACCUAAACUGAUUUUUUUGGGUAGUUUUGAAUCUGUGCUUUUUCUAUCAAAUCAUAAAUUCUGAUUGCCUGCUACCCAUAUGCCUUGGUAUCAUUAAUACUUAAAUUUAAACCACAGGUUCAAAUUGACGAGAUAUGUAAACUGAUUUUAACAAUUCCAUUACGUAUCUUAUUUUGGAUGGUUGGACAAAUUAUAAAGGAACAGUCUCUGGGAAACUAUGAAUAGUUCACAAACUUUUAGGAGCAUCUACUUAGUGGUUUCAAGGGCAUGUUUUCUAAGGAGGUGGUCAUCCUACUAAAUGCUUCAAACUCAUGGUUCUUGUUUUACAUCUUGGAUAAAAGUUUUACAGCAUGCAAUAUAUGGUUUUGAUCAUGAAAAAACUUCUACUGGGGAAACAGGCCAAUUUUAAUGGCACCAAAAUUCGGUUUGGAUGAUGGAUCCAGUUCAAAUUUUGAUGCUACACUUGUUCUCGCGACCAUGCUUACAUCACAGCUUCAUGAAGGAAAUCCUUCACAAGCUCCGCCAGCAGAUGAUGUAAUGAUUGGCCAAGCUGAUCACGGGAUGGGUUCCCAAGCACAACAAGGGAUUCCAAGAGCAAAUGUUUCUGGGCAUCCAUCUGAUCACACCAAAAUUUGGUCUGACCUCUCAGGUAAUUAUCUUCUCAUUGUUUCAAUGAUGACAAUAUAUCAUGCAUUGAAGGUUACUAACUAUUGUCAUUUUAACCAGGAAGUGCAGCCAAAAGUGGCAGUGGUGCUGAAGGCAGGCAUGUUCAGGACGAAAGAAAUCCAAGUGCUGCUGAGCAAAGGGAAAUUCAAAGGAUUAGUACAAUACAAAUUUCAAAGGCAAGAUCUGCUGGGGGAAAUGUGCCUGGUGGCUCUAAUCCGUAUCCUAAACUUUCUCAUUUGCAUGAGCAUGUUGUCUGCUCAAGUCUUCUGCUUAAAUGCCUCAUGGAGUCCUUGUUGUUUACUAAUGGCUGCUGCAAUUCUUUUUUGCUUCUUUAUCUUUUCUCAUUUUGGAGUAAUCUCAUAUGCAAAUGCCACAAAUUAGUGUGGGAGGUAAUAGUUUCUAUGUGAAGGGCACUUCAGGGGGUGAUUGCCUGUCUCGGAGUUGAUCAUUAAAAGCUCACAAUCGUGAAAGAGUAUUUACGGUUUUGAAGGGGAUGGCACAAAGUGUGAAGCAUGGAUCAUUAAGGACCUCCAUAUGCUUGGACUUUAACACAGGUUAAUUGCUAUAUUUUCUUGUUUAGGUCUUCCACCCCUUCUGCCCUUUUUUUUGUAAAGCAUAGUUUUGUUGUUUAAGGACAUUAGGAAAGAAUAAAAGGCAGGCAAAAAGGAGGCAUCUCAAAACACAGUUUUGUCGCAAACCUUAGCUGUACUUUGUCUAAUGUCUGAGGCUUAGGCAUCAAACUUCAAAUGGAUCUUAAAGCAUUAUGUCAUGAUUCGUGUGCAUUACAUUUUGAGAUCCAAUCCUAAUGGAAAAUCUUCCUUUGGGCCCUGGGUUGGUGGUUUUCUUUUAGCCUAAUAUGUGAUCUACUUCUAUCAUGCCAUUUGAUCAUGAGAAGUAGUUUUUUGAGGAAGAAAACACAUGAUGUAGAAUCAUUUUGGAGGUUUUAAUGGGAAAUAUCAAUCAUUAGUAUGAUAAAAUUUGGUGUGAAGAGCAAGCCAUGAGAGGAUCUGUCAGUGGAAGAACUAUCUUCUACAUAUUUCAAUACACUUAGUUAUUAUUUGCAAGAAGUAGAUCCCAGAUAUGGUAUUCAAAAAUCUGUAUUACUGUUCAGCUACAUCUAUCCAUGCUAGAGCAGAGGUACUCUGCUGAUUCUACUCCUUCUUUAGGUAAUGGAAAGUUGGGAUGCCGUUAUAUGGAAUGAAUUAGAUUUACCACCCUUCAUAUAAAUAUUAUCUGAAUCCUUCAAUAAUAUGGUUAUCAACAUUAGAUCACAGUGAUAUACUGUCUCCUCCAGUGUGAGGUAUACACAUUUCGUCUAUCUUUUGCCAUUCAUAAUAGACAGCCAUGGCAGAGAAAUGAUACAAUGUAGAGAAAACAACACAAAACCUCUGCACUUGCAAAAGAGAAUCCUGAGCACCUCGUUCACUCUAGAAUACUAAGGCUGUUUGAACAAUCUUGCAGAAGUUUUGUUAUAUAUUGAAAUUUACUCCAUGGCUCUGCCCAGAAAAAAUGUCAAGUAAUUCUCUUGACUGAAUGAUUUAGCUGCCGACCUACAGAAGCAGAUCGCGCAGAAGAUCCUCAAGGUUAGUAAAAGAACCAGUUUGUUUGGUUAACCUUACUCAUGCAAUAAUAAACAUUUUUCUGCUUGGUCCCUUUCAGAUGGAACAGAAAUUAAUGCUCAAGCUUUUUCGCAACGCCAUCCUAGCAACUGGGUAGAUGCUGAUGAAGAUGACGAAGAAGCAGAUGAUAAUGAACUGUGUGUUCAGUCAACCCCUCCAUACUAUGAAUAACAAAUAAGAAUUAUGCGUCUCCUUUUCCUCAUGAUAACUGAUGUUUCUCUUCUUUUAACCUGUAAGUGCAUGUUUCACAGCUUUGUCCUUUAACUACUAUCCUGUUGAACUAAUUCAGUAUUUUUUUUUCCCCAUUUUGCAAUGUUAUUUACUUAAUUCUCCUCUAAUGCAAGGAUCUUACUGUGUCAGAUAUCGUGUUCUGAAUCCAGCAUUUUAGAGCUGUUGCUUGAUAAUGUGCUCUGGUUUCGGGUGAUGGGAACCGGAGGCAUUACAUGAGUUUGAUUGGUUGAAACCAGGUAAAAGUUUAAAUAUGAGAUCAGUAGACUAACAUUUAAUAGGAUGAUGAGAUGAUAACUGAUUGUAUUGUAUUACCAUUGCUGUAUUUGGGUUUAUUAGGUUUUGUAUCAUUCUCUUCUGUCCAUCAAAGUAGGAUGCAAAUUGGAAUACUAGGAUCUUUGUCCUUCGACCUAGUAUAGUUUGAUAUUUUUAAAGAACAUAUUUUAGUUGUUUUAGUUUGUUUUCUAAUUAUUAUUUUUUUAAAAUAAUUAUAUAAAAAUAGAGAAUAAUUAAAAAUGAAACAUAUAUAAAACUAUUUUUAAAAGAUAUUUUAAUUUUUUUUUAAAUAAGUUAAAAAUAUUUUAUAUUAUUAAACAAAUUUUUGUUCCAUAAACUAUCAUAAAACACUUUUUCAAAAUUAUUAUCAAACUUAACCGAAGUUUUUGAAACUUCAAAAACAAGUUUGGUAGAGAAUCGAGUUAAACUAGUUUUUUUAAAACACAAAUUUAAGUUGUUUUUAAUGGUUUUUUCUGGAGUGUUCUAAUAAGUAAUUGACACGUGCGCUCUUGGGGGUAUUUUUUGUAUUGUACAUGAAUGAAUAGUGUUUUUAUAGAAAAUAAGCAGAGAAGUAUAUUUUAUAUUUGAAUUCCCAAUAACGUUGUGUUUUAAAACAACCGAGAAAUGUCUACAAAUUGUCUCCAAAUAAAAUUAUUGUUUGAGAAUUGUUUUUAUUUAUUUAUUUAAAUUGCCAAAUAGACACAAACUUAUCAAAUUCCGAAAUCUUUAAAAUGUUCUUUUUAUCAUUUGUCACAAAGGUUUCAGUUCAUCAGUUCAUUUCUGAAUUUAUAUAUAUUAAAGGUAUUUAUUAUAAAAUAUAAUUUUUUUAAUAUUAUUUUUAAAUCUAUAUAUUUUUAAAGACAUCGAUUUGGAAGUUAUUUUUUUGAAAAGACAAUUUUAAUUUAAAUAUUGAAGUUUUACGGGCACACCAAAUUUCAACUUUAUAUACUGGAGGUACAUACACUGGUAUUUCUGCAAUGUGAAGGGACUUGGUCAGGGUCUUAAAACUACAGCAAACUUCUGAAAAUCAGGUGACAUGAAAUAAUUAAAGUUGAAUAGUAGACAAAUUUAGAUGGUAUUUGUUUUUUUGGCUUUUUACUGAAAACCAUUUAGUUUUAAAAUUUAGAUUGUUUGUUUUUUUAUUUUUUUAUGACUUAUUAUAAAUUUUUUACUAAAUAGAAAAAAUCAGAAUAUAUGGCGUAGGAAUGUUCGGGCUGAGCAAAGACUUCAAAGUCAGUUCAGGCUGACUUCUAAACUAACCAAAUCGUGCAGAAUUUCAUCGAUAAGGGUGCUUGCCUUACCGGAGUCCAAGAGGCCGAUGCAGAUCGACAAGUAGACCUUUCCUAAGCAGGUCCAUACUGCCGGAGUUGCUAAAAUGGAAGAAGAAAAUCCGUUACUUGUCGACGACGAUGAAUGAAUAAGGGAAACCCGGACUGCCAGUUCCUGAAGAAAAGCUAAAACCGGGCCCUAGCUUCUUAAAAUAGAUGAGGCCAGUCGUUGUUUCCAUGAAAUCCACACCAGAGCAUAUUACGAUUUGUCCCGGAAAGUCUUUUGGAUAACGCAGGAUGGCUCAGAAGGAGAAGGAAAGGAAGGCUAGCGAGAUGCUUAAAACAUGCAAGCUUUAAGCUGAUAUACGCUUGAAGCAUAUCAAAGUAAGCGAGUCGAAUUCUUGGGUGCUUUAGAUCGAAAGUAGAUCAACGGUCUUUGUCUAUCUCUUACGAUGAGCUUUUGAGAAAGGUGUACGUUGUCACAUAAUCAAUUUCUUUGUUAAACUCGUCCUGACAAUGCCGCAUACCAACCACAACUUAUCAGGCUCGGUCAAGAACCUAGCAGUCUCGUUUAAGUACAUAGUGGCAGUUCCUCUUUUGACCUCUUGAUCUUUGAGCUUGGUGGCCUCAAAAAAGCGCUCUAGCUGCCACAAGCGGUUAUCCAGCUCCCUACCAUCCUUUUUUCCAUUAUAAUUAUAUAGGUCUUGGUUUCAGGUCUCUCUAGCCAAAGGUACCCUUGUCUGACAGCCCAACUAUGAGCUCCAUUGGCCCUAAUCUGCUUCCGCAUAAGGGAGUCCCCGCGCAUUUCCUCUACCUUUUAUUGUAGAGUGGCCACCUUCUUCCUUUGCUUCUUUAGCCAUCCAAGCAUUGACUGAUCCAAGAAUCUCUCCUUUCCGCUCCUCUCCUAAAAGUCAGUAAUUCCAGAAACCCUUGUUCGAUAGGACCCCCGAAACAUUUGGAAGGAAUGAGACAGGACUGACCGACAGGGACCGAUUUGAGUUGGAGCUUAAGCCUAGACUCACAUAAGACCCCCUCCUUAUCCACAGCACAUGUGUGGUCCAGCUGCGCCACUCUUUCGAUUGGCCUUUCACCUUGCUUUCUCUUGUCUCCACUUUGAUAGAUUAUGCUAUCAUAACCCAGGUACUUCAGCCUAUAACCAGGAUUGCUAGUCUAACUAGAGUACAGGGAAGAGACAGGCCCUUACUCGCCUGUCAAAUCUCUAUUUCUCUUAUUUCUCUUACCUAAUAGGCCAAGCAAAUCUGAUCUGAGAAGGAAUUUCAGUUCCUUGUCCUAUUCGAUGCCUUCUCUGAUGCGGCUUUACGACUGCAUGUCUACUAUUCUAUUCAUUCUGUUGACCUAAGCUUCUUUUAAACUAAAUUAAACUGACUUUCAAGGCUUAGAUGAAAGACAAGAUCCAGUGGUCGAAAGCUAGUUCAAGCUAUCCAUCCAUUCGAGCAAAGAAAAAUUCCUGUGAUAAAGCCAGUUAUAGGUGGGGUCACUCCAUUUGAAAGAGCUAUUGAGUUCUCGUGUGAAUCCGCAGUAGUAGUGCCUUUCAAGUCAGUGUUACGAAUGCGUCAUUUGCCUUUUACUGAGAGAUUUUCUUUCUCGGAGCUAGUCGCGCCUGUCACUUUCAUAAGCCAGAAGGGGUGAACGGAAAGCAUAAGCUUCAGACGAAGCUGAAAAAGUAGGGUCCACGAAUAGCGCUUUAGAUAUUCCUUUUUUCACGAAUAGAGGACUAAGAAAGAGGAUGGAGGUCAACAAUAUGCUGCUACCAAGGAUGCAACUGAGGACGAGACGGGGGGUGCUUUCUCCGUCUCCCGCCACGAGCCGCCCAGGUGAGCUAUCAAGGGAUAGGAGUGCCCGUCCCUUCUCAACUCCCACUCUGAGAUACCAGCCUAAGCCUAGGUCAAGAGGGCGUUAAGCACCUCACUAUACCGAUCAUGGCUUCUGCACCUAAACACAUCCCUUCUCUUAGGGCUUAGGUAGGGGAUGCCCAAAGCUAGCCUCAUUCUCAUAUCUCUUUACCAAAGCUUAAGCUUCCCUGUUUCGCCCAGUUCCUCGAGAAUCUAAAGAAUCGUUUGACUUUGAAUGCCGAAACCCGUCACUUUGAAAGCAAGAAAGAAAGUCUCAAAUUCAGGAUCUUCCGCUGCACGGAUUUCCUGGGAAACGAAGUCAUAGGCACGUAAGUUCAGAGCCAGACCGACUACUCCAAGAGCACUCAUCCAUAAACCGGUUACUGGUACAAAUAACAUAAAAAAAUGUAACCAACGUUUAUUGGAAAAAGCAACCCCAAAGAUUUGGGACCAAAAGCGGUUAGCGGUGACCAUUGAAUAAGUUUCUUCAGCUUGAGUUGGAUUAAAAGCCCGGAAUGUAUUUGCACCAUCACCAUCUUCAAAUAAAGUCUUUUCUACGGUAGCACCAUGAAUAGCGCAUAGCAGAGCAGCGCCCAAUACACCGGCAACUCCCAUCGAAAUGGGUUCAACGUCCAAUUAUGAAACCCUUGGAAAAAGAGGAUGAAUCGAAAUAUAGCUGCUACACCAAAACUAGGCGAAAAGAACCAACCAGACUGACCUAGUGGAUAAAUCAGGAAUACAGAAACAAAAACAGCAAUUGGAGCAGAGAAUGCGAUUGCAUUAUAAGUUCGCAAGCUUGGGUUGUUCAAUAGAAAAAACUAUGUAAGAAAGCCAUAGGGUGUGUUUGGUUACAGUUUCAUGUGUGAUGGAUAAGCUUAUCUACUCAUAAAGGAGGAAAAGAGGUGAAAAAGUGCACCUUUUGGAGGGUAAGUUUAUUCCCUGAAAGCCAAACAACAGAUAGCUAUGAUCCUGGAUGGAGUCUAUCUAGGACAGAGCCAUGACUGCACCCAAACAUCGCCAGAGUCCCAGACAAAGUAAAAAAGGGAGACAAGACACCAAAGGGCAUUGAUUUAUAGAAGCAUAGGAAGGGAUAAAAGAUGUUCUAUAAUAAAUAAUAUAAGGCAAUAACUAUUACAAUUGAUUGCACGCCAACAGGUGAUCCCAUUUAACAAGAGUAGCGAGGUACCAGCUUGGGUACUGGAUAAAGAAAGGUACAAGUCCUACAAGCAGCCAGAGAUGGGAGUUCUUCCGAUACAAACCAUUUCCUUCGUUCCCCAUACCGGAGGUAGCUUUAUCUGCUUUGCCAAAGAAAAGAUGCGGCUACUGUUUUCCCAAAGUCCUUUGUUGUAGAGGCGGAAUCUCUUCAAUCGUUUACGCCAGAAAGACUCUUUCUAUUUUGCGUAUAUAAGGGAGACUGGUCUUUAUCGUCUCACUCCAGCCCGUAGUCAAUUAAAGUGCUUCUUUCUCUCUGGCAGUUCCGAAUGGCUCAUGCAUAAUUUUACAUAAUUUGAAAAAGCAACUGGGAGUAAGGAGAGUAUGAAUGGCCGUUAGUGUUUGGAGUUGCGGUGUGGAAGCUCUGGUUUUGGCGAAAUAAAUUGGUGUUUGAUAAUGACUUCGUAUCGCCGAAUGACGCCCAACGAGUGGCAGAUUUGGAUGGAGUCUCGCUUGGAUGCUGGGGAGAUCCAUAGAUCUGGAUAGAGGCUCGCUCAUCAUAUAUAGAGGAAGAGUACGCGCGCAUGAAAUCACAGACUCAGUAACCGGGGAAGCUCUCAAGGCAAGGUAGCCCAACUUCUUUCGCACCGCUUUCACAGCCCAAGAGAGAGCUCAGCGAGGCGUAUCAUCUAAAGUAGGACUUUCAUGCUAAUUAUAAUAUGUAAUUGACAAGGCCUCUGUCUAAGCAGGAAAAUCAGGAGUUUCCCAUCUUAGGCAGGGUACCGCGAGAGACUUAAAACUAUUCAAUCUAAGCCAUCUUUCUUUAGAAAAGAAUCGACAUCUUUCAUUUUCCAUCCACGAAUGUUAAUGCUUCGAUAUCAAUUAAUUUGGGGGCAUAGCCCAGUUCUUAUAACACAUCUAUGAUACCAACAAGAACAACUUCAUCUGGGACAGAAGCUGGAAUUGGAUCGAUGAGUACCCUUCUUUUGCCGAUGCGACCUCGCCGGAGACGGAGAAUGAAUUAGAAACCGAUCCAAACCUUCUUUCCUCCCUUGCCAACUGCCCUUAAGAAAGGGGAUUCCCCUGAUUCGACUGAGAUCUCGAUCUCUUCUUUCUGCGAAUGUGCCUGCGUCUGUUUAUGUCCUUUUGGAUAGAAAUGUAGCUUCGUUCGGAACAAUUGGCUUCGGGGAUAAAAGGAAUCUCUUGGUUAGGCGUCUGCCGAUGCAGAUGGAAAUUCGUUAGAGGGACCGGUCGGCGAAUCGGCUGGUUGGACUGAUUUUUCUUGGUUAUUCGGGAAACGUAAUGCUAACAGUUCAUAAUCCAAGGGUAGGGGUGGUCCUACAAAGGAGCUAAAAAAUAAGCUGCCUUUUUUGGGCUUCAAACUGAAACUCGAAAUCUCUCUUCACUAGCUGUAACAGCAGACUUUUGGAUUCAAUUACGAGUUAGAUCAUAUGGACAAGACGAGAAUGACUCUACUAACAAAGAAGUGGAGGGCUUGCCUUUGUCUGCUGAAUUGAUGGAUCUUUAUAGCUUGGAUAAAAUAACUUUCUUGGCUUGACUGGCGCCUCUGGGUAAAGAGCUUGAAAGGGAUCCUAUUCGUUCGGCUGGGCUGCUGUAAAUGGCUAAAAAUGGCUUCCGAUACUGCGCGGAUUCCUACCAUCGAAGUAAACUAGCCUGGCCCACCAUGUAAACUUUCUCCAUUCAAUGGGCUUACCGGAUUGAAGAGAGAGAACUGGAACAGAUGCUAGUAAUACUGGGACUGGACGGCUCUCGGGAGCUUGCUUAUAGAAAGAAGAUAGGCCGGUCAAACAAAAACAACGCGCAACGGGCUCUCCGCUCCUAGUCACUAAGUAGUGUUAUUCUGUCCUCCGGGGGACUCCACCAAGAGGUUCUUUCUCUCACGUAAUUUCGCCCGCCCGCUCCACUUCCGUGCCGGAGGAAAUGGACUUCGAAUUACUGUCCAAUUGCCGAAGGGUCCGGCUUGAGAGUAGUAGUGAUUUGAUUUUCAGGCAAUUUGAGUUCCCUUUUUUGCCAGGGGAGAUCCUGUGACAGUCCUUUAUGCAAAUAGGUAUUUUCCUUCAUUGCGAUUUGAGAUCUUUAAGUCAUAAGGUAAGCUCAUCUUGUGGGCACAUCACUUAGACUGCUAAAAACUUAAACUUUCAAUCCAAUUUCUUAGCACACCGACGCCUAAACAGGUUUGGUUUGCCUAGAUAGGAAGUGCGCUUGCAGUGCUUCUAGUAACGAUUUUGAAGUGCAAUAUCUUUCUGUUUCAGGGGUAUGAUUGCUUCUUUCUUCGGCUUAAAAGCUAGAGCUUGUGGUUCUUUACAACCUAAUAUUUAAUACUAUUAAGUAUUAAGGUUCUAUUUAGAAUUAAGUAAAAAACAAACACAACCUUAGAUGCUUGUUGGGUAUACGUCAUUCGCCCCAACCCUUGAAUUGGGGACCAUAUCAUCUUCUAGAGCAGAGGUGAUAGGUGGCCAAAUCCGCAGAAUUGAAACCUAACUGGCUGGCAAGGAGAAUCCUUUAUAAAAUUGGCAACCUUUUUGACAUUUUCUAAGGAAUAAUAAAAGUCACAACACCACCGAGGAAAGGAAAAGCCUCACAGAUAUCGCAUGGAUUAAGCAUACCAAGAGUAUCAGGAUACAAACGAAAGUAUAAAGUAGAAGAUUUUAUCAUUCACCAAAAAAUAGAAGAAGAACCAUAGAAAGUAACAACUAUACUGUAAAAUAACCAUGUAACCUCAAUGCACAAGAGCAUCAGCUCUUAGAAAUUAAUGGCUCUGAACCUCGGCCCCAAACACUUUGGUGAUCUUCUCAGUAGGAACCAAUGGCAAGUAUGUGGAGACCUUGUAACCUUUCUCUGCUGUGCUGAGUACUGUUUGAUUAUACCUCUCAGAACAGUAGGCAGCUGUUGGCACGACAACUUGAACCACCUGAGGGAAGAGGGGAAGCCGGUUGAGUGAGUGCCAUGCGGACACAGCAUAAUGCUGAGCAACUGGUUCAUAUUUGGUGUAGAGGUCCUUGGCUGCAGGUUCACACUUUGUGUACGCUGACUUUGCUAGCCCAGAGGCAGUGUCCACAAUACCUGAACGUUGAACUUCUGAUGUCACAGCCCGAGCCACACUAGGAGCCUUCUGAGCAGCUGCGACGGCUUGGGAUGACACCUGCUUAACCACAGGCGGCACUUGCUUUCCAAACUUGCUUACAGACUCAUCCACCUACAUUCAUGACAAUAAUGUAAACAUUUAUGUGUGAGUCUUUAAAUCUCAACAACAAGUCUCUUUUCUGGAUUUCAUUUCCACUGAAUCAAAUAUGAAAAUAUCAAUUUCUCAAUAUAUGACGUUUUAACCAUGAGCAAUGUAUUGGAUUUGGAUGGUAUCCUCUACAGACCCCACAAGAGCAGAAGAAUGGGUUCAAAAGAACGGUGCUCACCUUGCGAUCGAUGAACCUGAGUAGUUCAAUGGGAACACCAUGGAACUUGUCAUAUACGGGGGCCACAACAGUCUUAACCGUUCCCUCGACAGUCUGAACACCAGGCUUCAAAGGACCAGACCUCUCCUUGGCAUAUUCAUAAAGGCUUGAGAAGCACAGCACAGCAUGGAGGGUUGCAACUUGGACAAACUCAAGGUACUUGAGUCUCUGUUCCUCUUCUUUAGCCUUCAAUCAUGAAUCAAAAAGAUAAUCAAAUCAAUCUUUGUUGCAAGAAAAGAAACAUCUCUAAGAAAUCACACAAUAUUGCUGGGAAAAUGUAGAACAAGGAACCAAACUACAUUUUAAUAUUAGGUUUUUUUUUUAUCAUUUCAAUCUCCCAAAAAAGGGGUCAAAAUCUAACCCAACUACAGCCAAAGAAAUCAUAAUUUUAUUAAAUUCGAUUGAGAGGAGGCCCCUGUUUUUUUAACAUAUCGUAUAAAUUAUGGUUUUAAUAUGGAGUGGGAAAAAUUAUGUUUGAAUAACUUUCUGCUCCAGAUUGGUUUUUUGUAUCAAAAAUUUCAAACGUCCAAAUUACAAUCUUUUUCUCUUUUUCCUAUUCCAUUUCUCAGGAACCAAACAGGGAGUAGAGGUCAAAAUUCCACUCAUUCUGCCUUGAAAUCGAACAAACAAAAGUAUGUUAGUUCAAAAUCUAACAUACUUUCUCAAUCCUCAACCCCAAUUUCAAGUCCUCCCAAUAUGAUCAUAGCCAUACAAAUAAAUCAACAAGGAAAUCGAAACCCUAAUUUUUCCAUCACCGAUCAAACAACACAAGAACAUCGUAAUCAACAACAAAGCAACAGAAACAUCAAAGGCAAUCUCCUCUUGAAUCCUAAGUAAACAAACAGCGAGAACAAAUAAAAUAAAAGAAAUAAAUAAAAGGAAGAAAAAAAAAUACCAUCUCCUGUUGGGGGCCUUGGGGCAUAGAAUCCGAUACGGCCAUUUUAGAAAAUUGGAAAAAGUAGUUGAAAGAAGAAGGCGAUGGGAGAAAUUGAAGACGUCUGCGUUAAAGAAACGGGACAAGAGAAAGCGCGCUGAAAUUGUUGUUUGAGAUGUACGUUGGACGAGGGGUUUUAUAGGGUCAUUGGAAGAUUCUGGGGGCCGAUCUAGACGGAGAAUAUAGACGAGGUGCGGUGUGAAAGCGUGUGGCUAGUGGCUACGCCUACGCGGCGUCGUUUUCGUGACUCUUCGCCGUUAAGUUAUUGUGGUGCCGCCCAAGUUCUGUUAUCUAUCCCUACUAUUUACCCAAUAUGCUAGUUUUUCACCUUUCUACCCUUCUUAUUUUACUAUAAUUCUUUUUUAUAUUUAAUAAAUAAUAAUCAUUAUGCAAAAAUUUUAGAAAAAUACUUGGCUAUGGUAUUAAUACCUAUCAUAUAAAAAUUUCGGAUGAAUUAGAAUAUGUAAAAUGAGAUCUAGGCCAAUCGAACAAACAAAAUGACACAAAUAAAUGGGAUUAGGAUACGGGAUAUUUAUAUGACGUUAUUUGAUUAAAGGAUCGUAAAAAUAAAACAAAUACAAAUAAAUGAAACUAAGAUACAAAUGAAAUAUAUACAUGACAUGAUUUGAUUGAUAAUAUAUAUAUAUAUAUAUAUAUAUAUAUAUAAAAUGAGAUCUAAAUCAUUGAAUAAUAGAACAAAGAGAUAUGAUUAGGGUAUGCGAUAAUUACAUGACAUUAUUUGAUUAAACGAUCGUACAAAUAAAAAAAACUACAAAUAAAUGGAAUAUAUACGUGACAUCAUUUAAAAGAUAAUAUUUUUUCCACGAAUAAGUGCUUUUCUAUUAUAGUCAAAUCAAAAUUUUUAUAUUUAAUAAAUAAAAAUUAUGAUAUUAACACCAUUUAAUUGAUUGUAGUAACAUUUUUAUUAAUAGUGUUUUUAUUAAAAAUAUUUUAUAGAGAAUCACUUAAAAGAAGUUUAUAUAUAUAUAAAUGUAUAGUAAUAAAAAUUAAUAUUCAAAAAAAAAUUUAUAAUGCCUCUAAAAUAAUCUAUAAAAUACUUUCUUUUAUAGAAAGAAAAAAACACUUUUAAAAUAUUUGAUAGAAUUAAAGGAAGGUGAUCCUCAAAUAAUCUCACUCUCUAUUUUCAAAAAAGAAAGUAUUUAGAUCAUGAAAAAUGACGCGAAUAAACAUCAAAAUGAAUCUCAAUACUUAAAUGAUCCUUUUUUUUUUAACAAAAAUAAUAUACAAUGAGAAAUAUUUAAAAAUAUAUAAAUUUCAUAUCUUUUAUUCCCUAUAAUGAAAAAAAAUAGGGGAGAAAUACCACAAAAUAAAGACAAGAGUUUAACACCCCUAACCCCCUCCCCUCCCUUUUUUUUUUUUCUUGAAUCAAUAUUUGACCAUCUCACUUAAAAAAUAAUUGGACUCAAGCCCAUGACAAAUUCUAUAUAUAUUAUGCAUUUUUUUUUGUUUUUUAUUACUUUCAUAAAUAAUUUUUUUUUCUCUAACAAACGAGAAUAGGUCAAACAUUUUAUAACAUUUAACAUUACUAUCACGGAUGAUCCAUCCCAAAUUAAUAAUAGUAUUGAUGAACCCUAACCCGCAUUAAGCUAACUAGAAAAAGAUCACGUUAAUAUUGUUAUUGAUAUUAGUAAAUAAUGGUUUUUUGCAUCUUUUAUUACCUUUAUUUCUUUAUUAUACAACAAUAAUUGAAUGUGAAAAAACUUUUACAUUUUGUCAUUUUUAAAACAUCUAAUCAUUGCUUAUCAUGAAAAUAAAUAGUAAAAAGUAAAAACAAUAGUAAUAGAUAUCACCAUCAUUCCAUAAAUUGAAUUUAGAUAUCUAUCAAAUCAUAUCCUUGCUAUAAUUAAAAAAAUGAAAAAAUAAUAAUAAUAAUAAAUAAAUAAAUAAAUAAAUCACAACAAUAUAUUAUCACCCGAGUAUUUAUUUAUACUAGUUUAUAUCAAAAUUUAGGGGAAUUAAUUUCACUCAUCUUCUUCGUUGUUAAGAUUAAAUACAUUUGAAGCUCAUCAAUUUGGAAUUUUGUCUUAAAUUUUUUUUGCUUUGAGUUAAAUGAGAGGUGAAUGAAAUUAACUAAUAAACACGAUAAUAGAAAAAUCUAAUGAGAUUUUAAACUAAUGAUAAGAAUUAGAUGUGUUUAGUCCAAAAUUUAGGAGUGAAAUUAACCUAACCCAAACUUAAGAAAAAGGAUCAUGGGAGAGUUGAUAUGCUUUAUCUCCAUCAGUCAAUUACUCCAAAGAAUUCAAUGCAAAAUAGAUGACUUCUAGAUGAAUUUAUACCACAUUUGCGUUUAGUCAGUUUUCUUCGUCUUGAAGGAAAAUGGGGUUCAUUUUCAUAAUUGAUCUCUGCAUCAUUUUCAAGGGUUUGAUACCCAACUCUACUAAGAAAAAGACUUGCUAUGGUGCUCUACUUUUCUCUAGGUGGGGCCUAAAAUUAUGGAUAAUGGAAAUCAUCUCAACCACAAAACCCUAGUCUUUGGACAAGCUUAUGACCAGUUUGAACUUGGUUAGGGUUUUAAAUCCAAAAUGCUCCAGUCCAGAUUCAGAAUUGUAUACACCAUCCAAACCAAAAGUCCAAACCCAUCAUAAGUGUGGGUCCGCAUCCGUUUAGGCAUAAGCCUCUUUCCCAUCCGAUUAUAGAUGAGCAGAGGGGUGUCCGAGUAGCGCCCAUAUUCAUUGUCUAAGUAAUAAAUAUUCUGAACCGUGACGAUAAGAUCAAUUAUGAGCACAAACAUCUAACUUAAAGCCAGAAAUAGUUAUUCACAAGGCUAAUUAUUAGCAUUUAAAGUAGUAAAAGAAGAAUGUGAUACAUUACAACUCUAUCAAAAUAAAGAACCAUCAAACAUCGGAAUUCAGAUAUAAUAAAAAAGUAAUAAUUCGUUUAUUAUAAAAAUUGACUUAAGUUUUGAAGGGAUAUAUCCUAAAAAAUCAUUCAAACACACCUUAUUGUAGAAAUGUUCGUUGUUUGUUUGAAAAAAAUUAGUCAAAUAAUACAUUGUUUAUCAUGUACCAACAAUAAAGAAGUCAUUAUGUCAAUCAACUAAACCCAUGUGUCAAGAAUAAAUAGUAAUAAUAAUAAUCAUCAUCGAGGAAGUAAGAAAAAUAUUGAAUUUUCGGAUGUUUAUGACAUGUUUGAAAAAACUUCUUAAGAUUAAUUUAAAGGUCAACUAUAGUAUUUAAAAGUAUUUCCAUAGAACUCUUAAUUAUUGAUCUCAUACUUUCCAUUGUGAUAUUUGUGUUUUUAAGAAAUUGAGAAAUUCAUGUUUUUCUCUCAACAUGAUAAGCAAGUUGUUAUGUAAAUAAAUUUUUAACAAAUAUUGUAAUUAUUCUUAUCUUUAAUAAAAAAAUAUCUUUUAAAUAUAAUUUUAAAACAUAAAAUUUGAUCACACAUAAGUACUAAUUAUCUAUACUUCUAGUUAUUCUUUUAUUAAGCACAAAAGCUAAAUAUUUAUAGCAAUAAUUAUUUAUAUUCAUGAUUAGAGAUGUAAUUUUGAUAGAGUGGCUUGACCAAACUCAACAUUUAGGUGAAUUUGGACCAUUAUUUUGAAUUUUUAGGUUAAGUUUGGGUUAAGUUUUUUCAAUUCAAAUUCAAUUUGGAUUGAGCUUGAAUUGAGGAUUGAACAACUUGAAACUUAAGCUAAAACACAAAUUUAUAUUUUUAUUUAUAAUAUAUAUUAUCUUAUAUAAUAUAAUAGUAUUUUUAAAAAAUUAAGAAAAAUAUCAAAUUAUAAAAAUUCCAUUUUCCAUAUAAAUUUUGGUAUAAAUUUAUAGAAAAUAUUUUUUAAAAAUAUUUAUAAAUGAAUUUUGAAUUAUACAACUCAACAAUCCAAAUUUUAAAAAAUAAAAUUAAAUAUGAAUUAAUUUGGGUUGGGUUCAAACCUGCCAUCAACUUGACUAACCCACCUAGGUUUUAGCUGCUUUCAUUAUUGUUUUGCAUUUAAAUCAUAUUGUAUCAAAUACCCUCGCACAAUUUUAGACCCAUGAAAAAAAAGAAGAAAAAAAUGUAAGUAAAAUAUAAAAAAAUUGAUAAAUAUCCAAUGAGUUUUGAAUUAUAUAACUUAACAAUCCAAACUUAACCCAAAUUUAGAAAAAUGAAAAUAAAUAUGAAUUAAUUUGGGUUGGAUUCAAAUUAGCCAUCAACUUGACCAACCCACGUAAGUUAUAGUUGCUUUUAUCAUUGUUUUGCAUUUAAAUCAUAUCGUAUCAAAUACCCUCGUAGACACAUGAAAAAAAAAAAAGAAAAAAAUGUAAUAAAAUAUAAAAAAAUUGAUAAAAAUAUAAAUAAUAUGAUUAAGCUUAAAAUGGUGUCUUCUUUUUUAUUGUGGAAUAAAUCAAAUUAUAUAUUUAAAUUAAAUGGCUGAUAUUAAAAUCCGAGUACGGUAGCUUUUGGGUACAAUAAAAUUUUCCAAAAGAUUGGUUGGACUUGAUAAAAGUUAUAACAACCCUCUCUAUUCUUAUUCAUUAGUACCUACUAGAGACCCUUCAUCUUACCAGGGAGCCAGCCUUGCUCUUGCCCGAGUGGUGACUUCUUUCACGAGUGAAAUACUCGUUUCUUCCUUGCUAUUCAAGUACAAACAUGUCUCACACAACCACUUAAUAUUGCUUCACCAGGUUCUUGUGAAAUGUUUUUAAUCCCAUCACUUAAAUGCAAUGUGUAGUAUGCCAAAAAUGUGGGAAUUUUUUUUAUGAAUAUCCACCCAAAUGUUUCUUUUUAAAUUGGACAAAAAUAUCCACCAUACUUUUUAUAUUUCAAUCCAAACAUCCAUAAUUUAAAGUGUCAAAAUAAAUAAAUAAAUAAAUAAAAGAGGGAUAUGGAUAUUUCUCAUAAUUAUCAUUCAAAAUGUUUAUAUUUUAUUAAAAAAAUAUUUUCUUGGAAAAUUUUCAUGAUAUUUUUCUCAAUAUUUCCCUUCUUUUUUUUUUUUAUUUUUUUUUAUCAUAUUGUGACAUUUAAAAACCUAAUAACUUUCUAAAAUAUCAUAAUUUUUUUAUGGCUUCUUUACCACCCUCACCUUCAUAGGGUGAUAAAUGAUAAUUAUAAAAUAAUUUGAAUUUAUUAUAUACUUUAUUUUAGAGAUUUAUGGAUUAUCUGACCUUACUAGUAGUUUUGAUCAUAAUAUUACUAAUCAAAGGAAAAAGAAAAAAAGAAAGAAAGAAAGAAAGAAAAUGUUUAGGGUCAUAGUACAUGAAUAAGAUGGAGAACUAAUGAUAUUUGGGUGGAGUUGGCAUGGGGAAUCUAAGAUGGGCCUUUACAUAAAGUGGUGUUUGGCAGCACAGGGGACCACUGUUUUGCUUUCAAAUUCAUUUAUGCAUGGGUGUGAUGGGUACAUCAUUUACCAACCAAACAGAGCUCCCAAUUUCAAAAACAUUUAUAUUAUAUACAUUUGAAUGAAAUUUUCAUAGAUUUCAUGUGAAGGCUUUGAAUGGAAAAUAAAAAAAGGGGAAUGAGGAAUGGAAAAGUGGACCAAUUUCAUGAUCUGGUGGGUGGAUCAUAUCCACUGACUUUGAUUGCCCUAUUCCCAUGAUAAUGACUUCAUUUCUCCUGUUCUUUUAUUUUUCACCUUCCAUUUUGGUGAACUUUCUUUUCCAUCUCAAUCGUUCCACAAUCAAACAUCAUAGCUUAUUAGAAGAUAAGAAAGAAUGUGUUUGGUAGAGUGGAAAAUGGAAAAAUUAAUAAUACUAAUUAUGAGGUAGAAAGAAUAAAUGUGUUUGGCACACGAGAAUAACAACAUGAAAAAAAAAUGAAAAUAGAGAGAAAUCACAAUACAAAAAAUAAGAAUAAAAUUUGAAUUUACUUUCUUUUCCAUCAAGAUGGGUAAUAUCAGACAUCAUUGUGGUUAGUGUUGGAUAGAUCUUAGAUUUUGUUUGGGGUUGAAGCAAAGAACAAGGACCAAAAAACACUAAGAUUAGAAGAAAAGCUUGAGACCUUUUCUCUACUUUAUACAGAAUUAAAAAAAUAAAAAAUAAAAAAUAAAAUGCAUAGAACUUUAUAGCACAAACAAAAGUGGGUUGAUAGGAUAAUAUGUUGACAGUAGAGUUUCAGAAACCAUUUUUGGAAAUAUUUUGCUUAUAGAAAAUAUUGAUAACAUUUGCAAUUGACUGACAACAUUUCAAAAGAAUGAAUUAUUUCUACACCUUCUCAUUUAGCAGCAGAAACCAAGUCCAAUUAAUGAUCCAACAAUAUCAUAUUUUCAUUUCAAUGAACUCAUUUUUUCCUAUUAAAAUUCAUUUGAAAUUUCUUUUUAAAUAUUCAUUUUUCCUCUUUUUUUGGGCACACGUGCAAAAGAUUUGGUGGUAGCCUCAAUUAUUUAUAUGUUUCCCCUUUUUAAAUUGCUUUCUCCUUUCUUGAUGUUUCAAAUCAUUCAUGAGCUGUGAAUGAGCUGUGACUCCAAGAAUAUAAUUCCAUUCUUUUUUUUCUCUUUCUCCUUUUCCCACAAUUUCUUUUUGCUUGUUUUCUUUUUCCGUGAAAACAUGGCAAAAGCGAGCGAUCAAACAGUCAAAUUCGAACCCAAAGUCCACCCCCAAAACUCAAUCAAUUGCCAAAAAGGUCAAAAUAGUGAAUUAUUUCCCCUUUUUUUCAAAAGAAAGAGAAGAAAAAACAAAGAUUGUGUUGUGCAUUAGGGAAAACAAAAAUUGAGAGAUAAUAAUGAAAGCAAGAUACAAUAAUAAUUAUAACAACAAUUUCGUGAUUGAAUAACAAACACAGCCAUCAAUCUCUCUCCUUUUUCCAUGUAUAGAACAGCACAAACACAUUACAGAAAAAAAAAUAAAAAUAAAAAUAAAAUGGAGAAAAAAUGGAGGUGAAGAGGAGACUAACUUCUGCAGCGAGUAAUGGUGCUGCAACCACGGUUGUACGGAUUUGCCUGAGCACCAGGCUGACAAUUGUAGUAGGAAGCGCCACGUCGAGAGCACGGCACACUGUUCCUCUGAAGCGCACCGUAGCUGAUGUACUUGCUAGUCGCUAGGAUGCGCCGGUUGAUUUCCGAGUCCAUCGCGAACUCUGAGGUCAGGCCGAACUCGUCUUCUCCGCCGGCGAGCGCCAGGCACUCGGCUACAGUUCCCUUGCAGACGGAUCUCGUCGGAAUCCAGCUGAGGUUGUCCGCAGUGGAAUCAACGGCGGUGACUGCGGAGGCGGCGAUGAGGAAGGCGGCGGCACAGAUCGCGAGGAGGCCGACGGAGUUUGCCAUCGUCGGUGGCAGCUGUUUCUCUCUCUAGAAUGUCUCUCUCUCUAGCCUUUGCGUUCUUGGCGUGAUCGCCUCUGAUUCCCUCACUGAAGACGAGAGAAAGGGCCUUUCGUGGUAUGUUAUAAGUAUACAGUUCUUAAUGAAAUAACACUACUUUUCUCUUUAUUUACGGUAUUGCCACUGAACGAAUAAAUGGUCCUAGAUUUGGGUAAAAUUAUUUUUGCCUUCUUUCCCGACGCACACCUAAAAGGAUAAAACAGAGGUUGUUCGAUGAUAAAGACAUAUGAAAAUUGAAUAAUAAUAAUAAUAAUAAUGUUUUUUUUUUUUUUUUUGUCAAAAGCAGUAUUUUUUUCUUCAACCAAUUUGAAAAUAUUUUUAAAAAUAAUUUUAUUUGUACUACAUUUUUAAUCAUUCUCGGUAUGCAAUUAGUUUUCAAAACAAUUUAAAGAAUAAAAAUAACGGAAACUAUUUUUAUUAAAAAAAUUAUCAAAUAUGUUUUUAUUCUUAAAAAACAUUUCAUAAAUACCGUUAACAUAAAUUUAAAAAAUAUCAAAAUAUUUAAUAUCCAUUUAAAUACAUUUUUUGAAUUUUAAGUUCAUUUUACAAUAAUUCUAAUAGUAUGUUUGAUAAUAAUUUUUAAAAGUAUUUUUAACCUUUCUCAUGAAAAUUUUUUAUUUUUAAAAUAUUAAAAAAAUUUAAAACAUUUUCAAAAAUCGUAUUAUAAGAAUUUUUUUAUCUUAAAAAUUAUUUUUUUAAAAAAAAUGGGUGGCAUCCCAAGAUGUGCUCCACCCCAUCGUGGUUUCGGGGUACAAAAUUUAGGAAGUAUUUCUAAAAACACUUUAUAAGUGAUUGUUUCAAAAAUACUUUUAAAAAAAAACUUUAAUAAAAAAAACCUUAAAUAAAAACACUAUCAUGUUAUAAAUUUAUUUGAAAUUCAGUUUCAAAAUUUUAAAAGUUAAAAAUGAUAAAACAAUUAACAUCUUAAAUUUUUUAAAUAAUUUUAGAAGAUAUUAGUUUUUAAAGGUUAUUGUUUCGUUUUUAAUAAAAGUUACCAUUAUUUUUAAUCUUAAAAAUACAUAAAAAUAAAAAUAAAAAUAAAUUGGGGAUUGCAAAAGAGGGAAGAGAUGGGGAUGGCAAGAUAGUAAUUAAAACGACAAGGAAGGGUAUAAGUAGGUGAGUAGUUGACAUGGGUUUGGAAAGGGAGCAAGUGGAAAAGAAUAGAAAAGAGAGAAAGAGAGCAUCUAGGGUUAAUUGGCUAAGAAGUACUCGGCCAUUCCCUAAGACCGUCCAAAGAAUCUGUUAACCUAAACACGCAGUUUCUCUCCCUCCUUCCUCCCCCUUCCCACUUCCGUUACCGUCACUUUCUCAGCGCAGCCGACAUAUUUCAUUUCUUCUCAUUCCAUGCUUAAGGCUGUGUUUGUCAUGCAGGAAGGGUAAGAAAAAAUCACCAAUUUUUUACAUUGUUUAAUAAUUUAUUAAAAAAAUUUAUAAAUUAAAUUAAAUUGUUGAAAAAUAAAAAUUAAGUCAUCCGAAAAUAUUGACUUAUUUUUAUUUUUUUUAAAUGUGUUUUAAAAAUGAGUUUAAAACUUAUUUAAUCUCAUUAAAUUAACAAUUAAGAGAUGCUGAGCCACUCAAAAUAAAUUUAUUCACGUGACUUUUUCAAUCACUCGCCAGCUCAACGCGCUUCUGUUAACAAUUAACAUCCCCAACGGCUACAAUUAUAAUUUUGAAAAAUAAACUUAACGGAGCGUCAAACGACGUUUAUUUAGUCGUUACGUGUUUGCGACGGCUCUUUAAAAAAAUUGCUGGGACCCAUUAACAGAUCGUUAUGGCGGUGUUUGCGCGUCCCCAAAACUAACCUCGUCACGACAGCUGUUCGUUGAAAAUAUAUAAUAUUUUUUAUUUUAUUUUCGCAGGAAAAACAUUCUCGGGAAAGUGACGAAAAUAUUAAAUUUUGUGUUAGAGAAGAAAUCAAUUUUUCGAAACAAUUCUUAAACAUAAUACUUCCUUAUUUUUAAAAAUAAAUAAAUUUUGAAAUAUUUGUUUAAAAGGGCAUAAAUUUGGAAAUAUUUGUUUAAAAGUGGUGAAAUAAUUUCUAAAUUAUGAAUCUAAUCAUUUUUAUGUUUUUUGUAAUCUAUUUUUUUUAUAUAUAAAUAUUAUUUACCAUUUCAAGUAUUUAUAUAUAAGUUUUAAAAGAGAGAAUUACUUUUAUAAGAAAAUAAUAAGGAUAUUUUUGUCCAAAUAAAACUAAAAAAAUAAUAUAAUGUCAAAUUUUAAAAAUUAGGUUUUCAAAAACCAUUUUAAUUAAAUAACCCAUAAAUAUUUAUCUAUGUUGUAAAUGAAAAGUAAUGAAUGACCACAUUGAUGGCCAUUAUGAACUCCAUUUACUCAUCUUUAAGAUGAGUAAUGGGAGUUCAUAUUAUGAAGCCUAUAAAAGGCUUCUUACCCCCUAUGUUAAAGCAUCCCAAGAAAAGAAAGAAACCUCUUCCUCUCAUUCUCUCUCUCUCUCUUUCUUUCACUUUCUCGAUUCUCUUUUUUGAUUCUUUCUUCCAUAUUAUAUAUUAAAGUAAGAUAUAUUUUAUCUCUACUACUUUGAUUUGCAUUAUAUUUGUCCUUGUUUUACAACACGUUAUCAGCACGAAUUGCUCUGAAGAUAAUUCUCGUAUCUUAAACUUGAAGUUAUUUAUAUAGAAUAAAAUUUUACAUAUUUAUAUUAUUGUUGAUUUGUUUUGUUACAUAUUGUUAAAAGUUAUAAACAAAUUAUUUGAUUUUGUUUAUAAUCAAAGUUAUACCAAUGCUAUUAAGUUAUUAUAACUGAUUUUAAUAAUAUUGUUUUGUCAUAUAUAUAUAUGAAGUUAUUUGACAAUGUCGAAUAUCACAAAACUCGAAUUUGUGGCACUUGACAUUUCGGGAAAGAACUAUCUAUCUUGGAUCCUUGAUACUGAAUUACAUCUUGAUGCAAUGAACCUUGGAGCUAUGAUCAAACAAGGAAAUCAAGCAUCCCUGCAGGAUCGCGCAAAAGCAUUGAUUUUCCUUUGCCAUCACCUCCAUGAAGGUUUAAAAAAUGAGUAUCCUACGGUAAAGGACUCUUUUACUCUAUAGAGUAAUUUGAAGGAAAGAUAUGACCACCAGAAAACUGUGAUUCUCCCAAAAGCUCGAUAUGAUUGGAUGCACCUAAAGUUGCAAGAUUUUAAAAUUGUUAGUGAAUACAACUCUGCACUUUUCAAAAUCAGCUCUCAAUUAAAGCUGUGUGGAGAAAAAAUCAUAGAGGAAGACAUGUUAGAGAAAAAUUUUAUUACGUUUCAUGCCUCAAAUGUGCUCCUGCAGCAGCAAUAUCGAGAGCGUAGAUUUAUAAAAUAUUCUGAAUUAAUAUCAUGUCUUCUUGUUGCUGAACAAAAUAAUGAGCUUUUGAUGAGAAAUCACCAGUCUCGUCCAACUGGAUCUGAACCAUUCCCUGAAGUGAAUGCAAUAUCGUCCCAAACUCGUGGACAUGGACGUGGACGUGGACGUGGACGAGGACGAGGACGUGGUCGUGGUCAUGGAAGAAAUCCCCGAUACCAUGGUUCUUAUAGUAAUAAUUCUCAGAAAAUGAAAGCCUUAUUGCACCACUAGAAGUAGAACAAUACUGAGACAAUACAAGAAAAUGGGAAGCGUUUACAAGAUAAACCUCCUAAGAACCAUGAGAAUAAUUGUUAUAGAUGUGGUAUGAAGGGGCAUUGGUCGCGUACCUGUCGUACGCCCAAACAUUUGGUCGACCUUUACCAAGCAUCAAUAAAAGCUAAAGGAAAAGAGAUAGAAAUGAACUUUACCGAUGGUGAUGGAUUGGACCUAACCUACUAUGACAUUGAUUUCUUUGGAGGUCCCAAUGAAAAAGCAGACAUAAAUGAUGAAAAAAUUAACAUUAAUUGAUGUUACUUUGUAUUUAAAAUAAUAUAUUAUUAUGUCUUAUAUUUACAUCUGAUUUACUUUGUUAUUUACAUUAUGCCUUGUUUUUUUGUUAUAUCUGAAAUCUAUGUGUUAUUUGGUCUCAAGAUGAAUGAGGAUGAUGUAUGUCUCGCAGAUUGUGCGACCACGCACACAAUUCUUCGAGAUAAAAGAUAUUUCCUCGAAUUGACAUUAAUAAAAGCUAAUGUGAGUAUCAUAUCUGGUACUACAAACUUAGUUGAAGGCUCUGGAAGAGCAAACAUAACAUUGCCAAAUGGAACUAGAUUCCAUAUAAAUGACGCGUUAUAUUCUAGCAAAUCCAGA